UUAGACAUUGUGUUUAUAAUUUGCCAAAAAACGAAACAGCCCCUAGAUGUUUGCGUGAGUCUAUGUUGUAUGGAAAAUGGUGAUCAAUCUCUUGAUCUUCUUGUAAAGGCUGGUAAACUAACUGCUGGCUCCUUUAUAUGAGAGCUAACCUGGUCAUGCUCAAAAUUUCUUUAAAAGGGAGAUAAUUACCUCUUAUGACUUAAACUUUAAACUUGGGUUAUCCAUUAAAAGAAACUUGUUUGCAUCUUUUUCCUUAGCUUGUUAAUAUGGAAUUACUUUCAAUUGCUUAUUCCUUAAAGUUGAGUGUAUGUCAUGUGUGCGAGAGAGAGAGAGAGAGAGAGAGAGAGAGAGAGAAGCAAAUUCUCUUGUCUUUCAUCAUAUUGUUCAGUUAGUCAUAAUGCUCCAACAAAUUUAUAAGGCUGGAAACAAAGGAUAAUUUACAAUUCCAAAGCUCUACAGGUGAUAUGAUGUUGGAAUAAAGUUGCCAUUCUCUAUUCCUCGAAUAAUCAAUGGGCUCCCAAAUGAUUUUCAACAAAAAACUUUACAUAAUCGUGGGACAUGCCAAAUAAAUAAGGGGAUUUUACAUGAACAUUGAACUUUAACUCCCCAUUCUUGCAACUUCGAAGUCGAUUUUCAAUUUCCAGGAGCACCAUUUAUAGAGCAGAAACCUGAUAAACUUUGCCUAGUUGGAAGGAAAAUAGGCCAUAUGUAUUGAAAUCGUGGUGACAUUAGCAUGCAUUUGUACGCACAAGGCUAUUCCAGGAUUUCCGAUGGCCAGAGCCGCUUCCAUGUAGUAAUCUCCUCCUCACUGCUAAGUUUUCUGAUUCCCCCAUAAAAUCCAUCUGCCUCAUUUCCCUCCUCUCGAUGGUCUUUCCUAUUCAUUGAUGUGCGUCUCCACCUUGAGCCAGGGGUGUAAUGAUUGAACUCUAACACCACUGUGUCUGUAAGCAUCACUUGGAUGUUAGAACCGGGCAAUAACACUCGACCAUCAAUUAUGAUGCAGGAUUUAACACUGUAUGUUCAACUGAAUAGCAAUAAUUAAAGCUUUUAUCUGAAUACCAUUACAGGAAUACACUGCCUGUGAGAACCACAUCUUUCAUUUUUCCAGUUAGUUCCACCAUAAAUACUGAAAGUAAAGAAUGAAUCAAGAAAAUUUCUGGAAAUCUCAAAACUGCGAUAUACAAUUAUGCAUGAAACAAAUUAUCCAAAAGAAUAAAAAAGAUAAUGGACAACACAAAUCAACUUCGUCUUUUGAAAAAAGAUGUAGCUUUUGGACUGCAAUGAAUGAAGGCCUUUACCCUGUCUAAAAUUGACUUCAAACAAGUGCACAAUCAUAAAAGCUAGAAGCUUUUACAAUUAUACAGAGGCAUUUUUGUCUGCUUAAAGUAUAUUUAUCUAUUAAUUGCAACAAAUGUGCUGUUUCUGCUUUCUCAAGUUGCAAAUGAUUACCCAACGAGAUCCUUUCUUUCUUUUGUGGUGUUGGAGAGAGGAUAAGGGAAUUAGUGCUGAUGUAAGUUGACUAGUGGGCAUUUGAGCUCUGUUGGUUUUGUGAACUUGUGAUAAAAGACAGAAAAUAAAUGAAAACUAAGAAGUGUAGACCAACCUUUGCAGCCCCACAUAGCCGAAAGAUUCCAAAUAAGCAAACAAACAGAGUCCAUAGGAAACACAGGGUUCUUUCAGUGUGGUUGGCCAUAAAUAUUCUGCUGAGACAGAAGUUAUCACAAUGCUGGUGGAAAUUAUGACAUGCUGACAGUGAUUUGUCUUGGGGACCAACCCAACAGCACAACCUAUGGCCCAUGUAUUGGAAAAAUGAGAUUCAUGAUAACGACCUAUCCUAAACUGCGUGUCCUCCAUGAAAGUUAACUUUAUAUUCAUCUCAUCCACAAUUUGUUCAUGUCUUAUUUUAAGAAUAUUAAACCUAAAUAGCCAAAUUUGAAACUCCCUUGGUCCUUCUCUCUCUCUCUCUCGGUUAAUUUCUUCAAAACAAGGGUGGAUUUUUCCCUCUUGUAUUGUCAGCUUAGAUUCAUAUGCCCCCUGGAGUAAUUUAGAAGGCGGAUAAAAUGGGAUGCUUGCAGUAUGAAAGCAAUAUCUCCAGAGACAAUUAGUUGUUAGAUUCCCAUUUUUUCUAGGCAAUCCUAUGGAAUAUCAUAGAGUGCCAUUUCAAAGAAGAAAAGAUGAGAUCAACUUACCACUAUUAUGACAACGGCAGUAAUUUUCAUUCCCAUCACAUGACUCCAAGUGACCAACCACACCAUACCACCAACCUGCAACAUAUAUGGUAAUCUUAUCAGCAAUAAAAUCAUUAUAAAAUGAUUAAUAUAAAUUAUUUAAUAUUCACCUGAUGGCAUACCCAUUACAUUAAACUAUUUGCAGAAAAAUGAUAUCAACAAUACUUGAUUAAGAAUUCCUUCUAUAAAAAGUUGCCUGCUGCUUAAUUCUUGUACUAUAGUUAAAAGCUUUCCUCAACCCAUCAGAGAAGUUGAGAUGAUACUUUUCAAAAAAGGGAAAAAGAGUUGAGAUGAUAUUCGGUGUAACCAGCUUUUUGUGACAGUCAAUAAUGGUAUCACUAAGGUUGAACAGGUCUUCUUCAAUGGAAACUUGACUAGCUAUUUUUAUGCUUUAGAUUUUAAAAAAGAACAAAUUUAAUAUAUAUGCGAACUCAUCUUUCUGAACACUGCACUAGAUCUUUCUUGAAAGUACGAAACGCUGCUUUUUUUUUUUUUUUCUUUCAUCUUAAACCAACCUAAAAUUCCUCAGGAAAAUUUUGGAAGUGAAUUUAACAAGCCCCCACGGGAUAGCAUUCCAAGUAACUUUAGAGUAAAACAAAACAAAACAAAACUUAUGAAAUACUUCAAGAAAUUGAUAUGAAGAGCUAACCAUAAGGGAAUUCUUUGUUUCUUCUCCAUUGAAUCUCAAUGUUAUCACCUGGGCGUAGCUCAUUCAAACAAUAAGAAAUAUGAAGAUCAUGUGGUGAAGUAUCAAUAGGUGGUGCUCUUAGCCUUUCCCACGGCACACAAUUCUCUAUGGCCACGGCCCUCCUUCCAUGUGGAGGGUACCUAAAAUGAUCAAACCAAUCUAAUGUCAAUCACCAGAUUAAUAUCCAAGCAUUAGGCCUAUUUUGAUCCGCUGGAGUAGAACCUAAUUUCAUCUUCCAGGACACAGUAUGAGAAAGUUUCAAAACCAAAAUACCACCAUCAAAAUUAUGUUCAUCUCCCAUAUUACCUGGCUUGGAAAGUCUCAGUACGGGGAUCAUAACUGAGUUCCGCAUCAUAGCAUGACAACAUAAAGCCGACAUGGCCAUUCUGCAAAACAGCAGGACAAAGAAUUUCGAAUCAAAACAAAAUUAGGAAAAACAGCAUAGAAUCUGCUGAUUAAAUUGGAACUAGCAUAAAUGUAUAGCUGAUUUAACAGCUGGCAAUUUGGAGUUUCAGAAUCAAUACCUCACGAUUAUAGACCUGAGCAGGGAACCAGAAUCUGCCAGUUUCAAGAGCAAGAUACCAAGACAUGAUUGAAUCAUCUGGCAAAGAACUCUGCCUACUACUAUCAUCAACCUUUGAUUUAAUCCACCAAAAUGGCCUAAUAAUUGAUAAAAUCCUCAUCAAACCUUUUGGCUUCCCUUGUUUUACAUGACUUGAAUCCUUUCUUGAAGCAAUAUGCCAUUGCCACUCUCUAUAGGCCGCAGGACCAAUAACUCUACCCCACUUUUUUUUCAUAUGCUUUUCCCAGAAAUGAUCACUAAUACACCUACUUCUCAAAGAGCUGCAAACACCUGCCAUACUACAGAGACCAGCAGGUGGUAGCUUUUCAAGAAUGCAUUCUAAGACCAAUUCUGGUAAGUCCAAAACUGACAUCACCCCUUCUUCAACCUCCUCAAAGUUAUCAACUUUUGAAGUAAAAGAUAUCUUUUUUAGAGACAUUUUGGAAGGGAUUGUGGUAAAAUAACUAAGACUAAGACUAUUUUUUAUCGACUUGGAAAUGGAAAAAAAGGGUACUUCUUUCCAGAACCAGAGAGACAAUAAUCUCAUCUCAGUUGCCCACGGUGGGAGUGGUUUCAAAGUUAAGGACUUCAAAAAGAAGAUGAAGGGAAAACAAGUGAUGAAGAAGUAAAGUAGCAUUCCAAAAUAUAGAAAAAAGGUGAAUUCUUUUUAUGGGUCCAAAUUCAAUUUAUCUAAGGCAAAAAGGAAAAAAAAAAAUCAAUGGAAGAACCCAAUUGUCUCUCCCAUUCUCUCACCCUUCCCUUCAAAAACAAAGUGGGAUCUUCAACACAACAGGAGGAAUACCCAACUUCGAUGAAAAACAAAGGGGGUUUUGUUGGUUAAUAUGAAAGCCCACCAAACCCCAGAGGUGGGCCUCCCUUGUCAAGGUCUUAUCAGAAUAAAGAUUAGUAAUAUAAGAAGAAAAAAAAUUUUCUGUUUCUUUUUUAACAAAGUUUGAUAACAAAAAAUUACCUCAACCAAUCCAAAGGCCUAAAAGAAAGCUAACAAAGCUUCCUCCUUCCUUUAUUUUCCACAAGAAAAGAACUCAACCGUACAGACAGCCUAAACAGCUGUCAUGUAAUAAGAAUGAGGUUUAGUGGACGCACCCAGAAACAGGUAGAUGAAGGAAGAUGGUGGUGGGGUUACUGAGAUCUGAUAUGGGUUUGUGACACCUGGAAAUUCUCCCCCCAAAGAAUAUUUAUUGAAGAUAACAAGUCUAGAUACAAAGACCCAUAUCCAUAUGAUCUCUGGAAAACCUUUCCUUUGUUUAUGUACAAAACAAAAACAUAAACAUUAAAAAACCUUUUCUUUUUCUUUUGAAGAUAAUAAGGUGAGAAAGAAAACAAACAACAAAUCUGGGUUAGUUGGGAUUGAAAGAAAAGACACCCGAACCAAAGGAAAGAGAUUGAGAAAUUUGAUGAAUUCACCUUAGUUCAUCAAAUUUCUCUUAUCUCCUUUUCUUCUUUUUGUUUUCUCUGGGUACAAAAAAAUAGGGUGCGUAGGGAUGGCUAUAGGGAGACAAAGAAUGGGCGGUUAAGGUUUAAGGGGGGGAUAUUUAUUUGUGUGGAUAUUAAGAAGAAUAGUAGAGAAGUGCAAAAUUUUUAUGUUGCUAGCGUUAUUAAAAAAGAUUUUGGCUUUGCCUGUGUCUUGAUCAGGAGCUUUCAACAAGUUGGAGGAAAAUCCGUGUAGCCAGAAAAAGCAACCGCUAGGAUAACGUAUGAAAGGAAUCAUUGAUAUAUUAUAGCGGUGAAAAGGUUUGGGAUAUGUUCCAGUAGGCCAUCCGCCUAUUCAGUUUAGGUACUUAGAACCACUGAUUUAACACUACCUGGCAGUUGAGGAUUGGAGGAUGGUGACCCCAUGACAAUUCAAUCCCAUACAAGAAUUCUCAAGUAGAUUUAAUUGUGUUACUAUCAACUUUUCCCUCCUUUUAACCUAGGCUUUUAGUGCCUGCUCUACUCUUCAUUUUUUGAAAGGCAAAAGGAAGCCUAUACUACUCAUUUAUUAUAGUAAUAAUUAAUUACCGAGUUUGAUGUAGUUUUUUAACCUUAUUCCCAAUUUUAGAAGUUGAUUUAGAGCUCAUUAAUUUACAGGUUAAAUACCUUAAUUAUGGAUACCUAAUUUACAAUAUUUUUAACAAAAUUUCUCUUAAAUACUUUUUUUUUCAUCUAGAAAUUUAUUGGGUUUUUUAAACUAGAUAAUAAAACCUAACUCUUAGUCAUUUUAUUAAACCUUUUUAUUCGAUUGAAAGGGUAACUUAAACUCCAAAUUAAAAUACUUUUGUCAAUUUGACAAUUUUAUCAAUUGAAAUUUUAUAUAAAAGAGAGUUGAGGCACUUCAUUAUUUUGAUUAAAAUUUUAUGACUUGAGACACGAAAAAAAGUUAAAACAUCACAUAAGUGUCAUCGUUAGGGAUUUUCACGAGUAGAGUUACUUGUUUGAAACUCGGGGGCCCAGCUUGUCAUGAACAGGACUUGAGUAUAGAAUUGUAAGCUUGAUUUCGCCAUAAUUCAAUUAUCUUAUUUAAUUAAUAUAUAUAUUUGCUAAGAAGGCAAAUAAGUAGCACAUGAGUAAUUGAGUUAGCACCUAAUUCUGAUUAAUUAUAUUUUCCACAUGAUUUAAACCCUUGCAUUGCUGACUGACAUCACACAGCGGGCUGCAUCAAAUUAUUUUAAUUUAAUGUGGGCGGUGCGGAGCUCGGACCAAUGAUGAGGGUAAAAAUCAAACAAGGGUAGGCCUAAGGUGAGGUCAAAUGGCACUGGGAACUGGGAAAGGACAGUUGAGUCCAUCAAUAAGGGCUAAUUUUGUAUCACUAGCUGGUGGGCUAACACGUGACUUGCACGUGCAUGUUGCUUUUCGAUCUCCAAAUGAAAGGGAGUUCCAAUUUCCAAGGUAAUAUAAUAAUUUUUUUUUUUUACGUUUCUUUCUAUCGAUCUGAACGGCACAAGGACAACAAUAUUUUUCAUUUUCAAUUAUAGUCCAAGCAAAAUUGUUACAAAAAUAUUAAACACUCUGAAAAGUUUUUAUGAAUUUAAUUACAUGUACAUAUUUAAAUAGAAUUGUGUGUAUUGACUAAGACAUAAAUUUUAUAAUUACUAUUAAAUAUGAAAAAAAAAUCGAUUUAGAAACUUCCACUUAUUGAUUUUUUUAUUCUUAAUCUACAAGUAAUUUGGGGUUUUGACCCUAACAAUCCUUAGAUUGCUGCCCUUUAAAUCAUUUUUUCUUUUUUGAUUCUUAAUGUUGACAGCUUCAUCUGAUUUUAUAGGAGUCGAUUAUGGGUUUUUUUCAACUCAAUAUUAAAAGAGUUGACCUCAAUAUCAGAGACAAGGGAAAAAAAAGCCUCAGAACCAAGAAAUUGCUGGAACAAAGUUGGGCAUGAAAAGUAAAAAAUCAAUCCACGCAUGAGGCCAAAUCCAACCGACAAUUUGAACAAAAUUAAAUUUAUAGUAAUAAUAGUAACUCUUUUGGUUGGUUUGGCGGUGGCAGCUCUGUCAAGCCUUGAUAAAGUUUGUUUGAUGCAUAUAUCAACAAGGAGUUGAAAAAGAAUCUGAUUGAAGGCCCUUAAUUAGGAUUACAAUAAGGCUAGAAUAUAUAUCAAUUUUAGGUUGAUUUAAUUGGUUAAACGGUUUUAAAUUUGAAUGUUACAAUUUAAUGAAAGAAGCCCUUAAUUAUUAAUUUCUAUAUCUUAAUUUUAAGGUUAUAAGGUUGGUGCAUACAAUUGGUUUUGGCCAAUGGCAACCCAUACUUGACUACUCUUUCUGCAACAAACUAACAAAAAUAAAAAAUAGAUAAUCAUUAGACAUAAAGAAUUUGGAUCUCAAAUGUUGAUUAUUGAGUAUGGAGGUCAAUAAUGGUGGGUUAGAAAGUAGAUAAGGAUUUUCGGCCUACUCCAUGACUAGUUCAAGGAAAGAGGUCCUAACAUUUUCAUUGGUUGGUGUAGUGAGGCAACGUGUAUCCAAAUCAAAUUGUUUUGUGAUUUUUUUUAUAUUAAAAAAAAUCCUCCCAAUAAGCAAUCACUUGAGACAAUAAAAUUAUGGUUGCAAAAGUCAUGAUAGGUAAAGAAAUAUAUAUAUAAUUUAUUUAUUUAUUUAUUAGUUGAUAUCAUAUGGGGGGCAUUGGAAUGGUGGGGUGGGAAAUAAAAAGAUUUUGAGACCAACAACUUUUUGGGAAAAUGGCAUUUGUCAAUUGUCAUACACAGAAAACUAUAUGAAUCUUAUCUUAAUGUAUUAUGCUUUGUUUAACAUUAUACAUAUAAGGCCAUAUUUGAUUGGGGGUAAUGCAUUUGGACUUUACUCUGUUAAUUCGGGAUCAUUGCUAUAGAGUGGUAACUGAUUGUUAAAUGGUCUAAAUUCAAAAGACAGAGAUAAUAGCAUUAUGUGUAGAUAUUACAAAUUUUAAAGGUUAAGAUUUAAUGUCUAAUUUGCACACCAUUUGAGUAUAUAUAUAUAUAUAUAUACUUUUUAGCAUUUUUCAUUCUAAAUAUUAUCCAUAUUAUUGCAAUGGGUAAACCACAUACCUAGCGAGCCAAAUGCUAUCUUUAAGAAGAGACUCGAAUUUCCCCUUAUCUUUCUUGAUGUCAACCAAAUAAAUCCAAGCAUCUUGAUUGGUGAUGUUAAGCUUGACUCUUGCAUAUUAGGACCAAAUAUGAGAUAUCAACAUGGUCUGUUGCUGUAAAAUGUGGGUGUAUGAAAAGUAAAAAAAAAAAAAAAUCAAUAGAAAUGGCUUAAAGGUGAGCUAUAAAAUGUCGCUUUCUUUUAAGUUUAUUUCUCCCAUUAAUUAUAGUGUACAACAGGUUUAAUCAAGUACCCUUAGUAUGCAAUGAAACUUUAUUUGACUACAUCUGCACUAAUGAAAUCAAAUCACUUACAUUUUUUAACGAAAGGCGAAAUUAUCAGUCUUGUACAAGAUUUUCUACAGGCAAGCAGCAUAUAAGGGAUGAUUUAACUUUUCAGAGAUUGUUCUAUGAUAAAGUGUUUUGGAAAGUUUUUUACCUUGGUUGUUUAUGUUGAGAAUGACAUAAUCAGAUUAAGCGCAGUGGAAUGAAAUAAAAAAGUUAUAAAAAAAAAGUAAAAACAUUCAGCACUUACCAUGAAUCUCCUUAAUGAUUUUAAUACAAAUAAAACAAGAAGAGAGGAAUAAUCAUAAAAAUGAAAUUACCUUUACUAAGUGAUAUAACUAUCAUGAUGGUACUUCUUCCUUGUCCAACUUGUGAACAUCAUAAAGGGAGCAAAGAACCUAAGCUACUCAAAUGCUUGGCUUCAAACGAUUGCACAUACGGUUGCACUUGAACUUUCACACAGAAGGAGCUUUCUCAAAUAUGCCUUUGUGCUAGUAAGGUGGACAACAGCUUGUUCUCUCCAUACAAUCACACUCUUUCUAGUCGAAUCACAAAAUUGAAAAACUAUUUUUCUAGGUCACUCAAGAAAGUGUGUGGUUAGGCUUUUCUUGUUAGUUUUCUAACAACUCAAAAAGCCUAACUUUUGUGUUUUAUUUGUGUAAUGAGGAGUAGUUGAAAAGUGAUAUUUAUAUCUAAGUCAAUUAACUUCUUAAAUUGUAAAUAAAGCCUCAAUAUUAUAACAUUUUAUAAUAUUGGUCUAACACUUAAUUAAAUCUUUUUAAUUAAGUCAUUGUAAAUUAAAAUUAAAUUAAAUUUACUUUAUUUGUUUGCAAUUAAGGUUUUAAUAUUAUAACUAAUUAUAAUAUUGGCCUUAUACUUAAUUAAAGUAUUUUAAUUAAGUCUUUUGAAGUUAAAAACCUAGUUUAUGAUUUAAGUCCAACUUAAUCAUCACACUCCUAAUUUAAUUCAUAAUACAACAUAUUUUGUGUUACCCAUCAAGUUCCUAACAUGUUGGUAAUAUAAUUGAAUUACAAUUUUUAUUAAAUUAAUCAAUUCAAUUCCAUAGACCAAGAUUGAUAUCUAGCAAUCGAUCAUGGCCAUUCAAUUGUUAGAAGAGUCAAAAGGUUCUUUAACAAUCUUUCAUUGUACAGUUUAUUAGUGUAAUUCAUUCUCUCAUUAUUUAUCCCAGAAAUGAUAAGAGCAUGGUGCAGUGUUUACUUUUAUUAAUAUCCAUAUUUGUUUUUGAAGUUAGAUUAUUAGUUUUAUAGAGACUUAUGAAACUCUGUUUCAUAAUUUCCAAGUCACCUUGGCAAGUACUUCAACAAGUUAAUAUCAACCAAGAAUUGUUAAGAUAUGUCCCCUAAAUCACUUGGGGUGUGAUUCAUUUCUUGACCACUCAUUUGCCUUCACAUACUUUGUCGUACAACCAACCAUACCCUAUUUUAGCAUCCUUAGUAAGACCUGUAGGGAUAUGAUCAAAUAUAUAACAUUCUGCAUAUAAGAUAACUUGGCGUCUCAAGUCUAAGGAGUAUUUACAUGACCAACACUUGACAAAUAUUUGUAUAGACAUUAGAGUGAGUUACUAAAUGCAUUUCUCAUGUCGGGUCAUAUUCAGUGAACUUAUUCAUAGAAUAAUCACCUGCAUUCUAGUUUCAAGUAUCUUUGUACUUCAAUAUAUGAGAUCGGUUACUUACUUCCUAAAUAAAAAAUAUAGAAUUCACCAAUCUCUAAGCAUAAUUGAUGUCUAGUCUCAAUAAUACAUCGAUCAUGAACAUUUAGAGAUUAUGUUUUAAUGCAUAAGAUUUCAUAAUUGUAAUCCAUUACAAUUUUUUUGCAAGGCAUAUUAGUCUCAUGGACUUCAUCCAAUAGACUUAUAACCUUUAUAAUUAAUGCCUUAUUGAUAAAUGAAAACCUUUAAUCAUUCAAUAUGAAUGAUAUGAUUACAUGUCUGGAACUAAGUCUUAAUCAAUCUCAAUUGACUGUAGGGUUCAUUCUGACAAUUUUUUUUAUAUAAAUUUUCUUCAACAAACACAUCUCUUUCUGUUACCCUUUAUGAAAGAAAGAUGACCUUUAGAAAAGGUUUGAACACUUAAAAAUAGGAUUAGUCAUUAUAGAUUAAAAUUUCAAUUUCUACCUAGUUAAUCACCUAAUUUAUGAAGUUAGUUUGACUAAAUCACUCUAAUAGUAAAUUUGUAGAUUUGAGUUUUAGCUUUUUGUCUAUUAACAUAUUGAACAUAUCUUUGUUUCACUUUUUUCUAUUUUAUUUGAAUAUUGAUUGACUAAUCUUACGACCUAACCAAUUAACCUUACCUUUCCUUCGUUUCAUUUUAAAAAUUUCCCAACAAUCUACCAUUAUUUUAAAAAUAAAAUAAAAUCCAAUAAUCUUAAAAGUCUUAUGCAUAAAUGAAUUUCCAUUUAAAACCUCCACCCUAGUGAAAGUGUUUUCGAACUAAUCAAAAUUGUAUAGUAAACUUUAAAUCUUUGAAUUAACAAUUUUAUAUAAUUGGUUGUGCAUUAAUCACGAACAAAAUUUCAAAACUCAUCAAAAAAUAGUUUAGAAUCCACUAACAGUAUUGCUCGACCAUGUGUUAUUAGUUCUAUAAGAAUCAAUUGCCCUUUAACUUCUUGAAGUGACAUCACUUCCACUGGUAUGGGUGAACUCCAUAGGAAGUGCCCUUGUAACAAGCACUUCAACAUAUUUUGUUAUCGUUAUCGGUUCAUUAAGAAUAUUAUACUUAACCAUCUUUUCUUUGCAUAUGGGUAUCAAGUACUAAAGCUUUACACCCGAGAUGGAUCAAUGGAUUACAGUGAUUGCAGCCACAUUCAUGUGAUGUGCUUUGACUCAUUAAGAUUUAAGAUUUAAUGUCUUUUUAAGUUAAAGUUGCACCAUGCGCGGGCUUGAGUCUCAUUCCCUUAAGAAGUUCUAGACACCGCUUCUCUUGCAAGUCUUUUAGUCAAAGGAUCUACCAAUUUUUACUUUAGGUGAUAAAAAUUCCCUUAGCAAAAUUGCUAGACAAGAACCUUUUGGUACUUUAAGCUUAACAUAUUAUCUAUAUAUAAGUAAAUGAUGACAGUAACAAAAUCAAACCACUAAACAUUUCUUAACAAGAGAUAAAAUUAUAAAUCUUAUACAAAAUUUUUUGUAAGCGAAUGGUGUAUAAAAGAUGGUUUUAUCUUUUAGAGAAGAAGAGGAUUGUUAUUCUAGUUUUAAAAAGUGCUUUGAAAAGUUCUCUGUCUUGGUUAUUUAUAAAGAUUAAAUAUUUUUAAGAGACACAUCUCUUUAAUUAGUGGUUAUCGACACAUCUCUUUAAUUCUCAUUUCAUUUCCUAAGGUGCAAUUAUUCCUUUUCUGUGGUGGUGCUUCAAAUCCGUUGGUUCACGCCAUCCUCUUUUUCUCUCUCUCCGUAGACUAUGGAGCAAAUAGCACAAAGAUUUUUUAACACACACACAAAAAAAAAAAAAAAAGAAAAAGAAAAGAAAAGAAGAAGCGUUUAACAUCACAUAGGCAAAUUCUUUUUGGUUACUUUAGGAUUUUCGAUAAGGUACUCAAUCUUUUGAUUCUUUGUCUCCUAAAGUUUAAGCAUAUCAUGCAUCAUCCUCCAUCAACUUUUCCAUUUCCCUCUCCCCUCCCCCCCCCCCCCCCCCCCCACCUUAUUCCAUCACAACAAAUAAACGCAUCUAAUUGAACCGAAUGGAUUGGGGUUCGGUGGGUGGCUAUGCCAAACCCAAUUUGGUUGCUCCAUAUAUAUAUAUAUGUCAACUUUAUUUUAUUUUCAUUUCAUCGUUUCUUUUUCUUUUCUUUAAUUAAGUUUUGUUUCAAGGUUGGUCAAAUCUUGAGCGCCGUUGGCUCCCUUGUUCGUUAGGCGCUUGUUAUUUGACUACCAUCAGAGCUGUCUUACUUGGCCAUUUGACUACAAACAUUAGUGGUUUAAUUUACUUCGGAUAGCCUCUCUAGUAGUAGGGUUAUGCAAAGCAUGUUCUUAUAUUAUUCUUUAUUUUUCACAUGUAACUUAGAAUUUUAUGGUUCUUCCUCGACAACUUAUUAUAUAUAUAUAUAUAUAAAAGUUCUCAAAAUAUUAAGCUUUAUUUUUAACUUUUUAUUAAAUACUUGAGUUACACGGUAAAGUGAUUGACAGUAAUCCUCUCUCAUCUUCAGAGUUUCACUAUUUUCUCAAAUAAAUUUGAAAUUUUCAAAUUGAUAAACAUAUAUAUAUAUAUUUAAAACUUAUUUGCAAAGUUAAAAUCUACUUCUUUUAAAUUUUUAAAUUGAACGUGAUUAAAUUAGGUCAUAUUAAGAAUCGAUCAAGUGAAACCCAAUUUUAAUUUAAAAAGUAUGAAUACUCACCAUAAGUGAGUUCUCUCUCUUCCUCUCAAAUGUAUUUUUAUUGUUCUUUUUUCUUUAAAAUGUUGGUCAAAUGUUGAGCACCACGGUUCUUGAAUUUGACUAGAGAUGGCUUAAUUUUUGAAACGUGACUAUAAAUUGGUUCUUUUAUGUUUUUAUUUUUUGGAUAGAUUAAUUAAUUGUUUAAGUAAUCAAUUUCCAUUAUCAUAUAACCUAAAAGUAUAUUUAUUUUUUUAUAAUUUGACUUUGAUUGGUGAAGUCAAAACCAUUUGUAUAACCUAAAACUAAUUAAUGGACCUCCAUAUUAAAUAAAAAAACAUUAUCAAGGUAUAAGGGUUUUAUUUUUAUUUUUAUUUUUUGACUUCCCUCUCGAUUUUGACUUAGAUUGUCAAAAUCAUCUCAUUUGAAUUUAAAAUAAAUUUAUUUUAAUAUUUUAGUAUACGACUUAAUGAUAAGUGUAUGUGUUCUUUUACUUAAAGAAUUGAAUCCAAAUAUUCCUUUCUCCAAAUGACAAUAAAAAAGAUGAGCAUCUUAAGUCAUUUCACAAAUAGAUUAAGUGAAACCCAUGCUGAAUUUCUGUAAUUUAUCCUUGCAUGGACCUCAAUCUCAAAUGACAUAAAUAACCCUUUCUUUUGCAAAAAUAAAAUUUAUUUAUUUAUUUGUAUGUAAUAGAGGGUUGUAGCAGUUAAGAAUAUGAAGCAACUCUGGUAGAAAGAAAACUUGUGUCCAAUAUUUAACACAAAAAAAAAAACAGAAAAAUGCCAGUAUACAAAGUAAUGGAGGAGAGAAUAUGUAAAAGGUAGGAAAACUUUAGAAUUGAGAUAAUGGAGAAGAGGAAGAUGAGAGAAUGAAAGAUAAUGGGAGAAUUACUAAAGUAGUCUUAUCGGAGCCAAAAGAGAACAGGAUGGUUCAAGUGUACUGGCCGGGUCAACAAAAUCCAAUUGCAUUGCAUUUGUAGUUGAAUAUAUUUCGGUUAUUUAUUACCCUUCCUAGUCUUCCUUCAAUUUUUCCAUUAUACCAAAGAACUGUUUAAUAAUAAUAAUAAUUAUUAUUAUUAUUAUUAUUAUUAAGAUGAUUAUACAAAUUCAGUAAUUUAAUUAUACAGUUAGAAUACAAUACUAUUGGUACGUUAAUUAGUUAGUUAGAUUAAAAUUAUUAGCUAGUAAGCUAGUUAGACUACAAUACUAUUGAUUAAAUUACAGUGUUAUUAGUUUGUUCGUUAGUUAAUUAAAUUACAACAGUUAAUUAAUUGAGUAGUUAGAUUAAAAGACUAUUAACUAAUUAAAAUUAAAUUAUAAAUAAAAAUAAUUAUAUAUAUACAUCAUAAACAGAUAAUCAAACUCAAUUUUAAUGUUAGAUAGUAUUAUUAAUCAGACUAACUUUAAAGAGUGCAUUAAGACAUUUGUUAGAAAAAUCCAUGAUAAGAGAUGAACACGAUUGACCCAAAGACCCAAAUGACCACCAGGCACACAGAACAAAAAGCCACCAAGGUUUCCUUACCCAUUGUCUUAAGACUACGUGUCCACCCAAGCCCAAGCUUUCCAAACUAAAUUAUAUAAUUGGCUGGGCCUUGGCUCAGCUUCUGUCCCCUUCCUGCUACCCAUAAUUAAUAAGAUUUUCGAUCUUUCCAUUGUCCUUCCUUAGCACCCGUCUUGGAGGGCGAAGCUAGGAUAUUCGCCCUAGGGGUUGUGUUAAAAAUGAACAUAAAAGUAAAAUAAUAGUACAAAAAAUUAGUAUAUAAUUAAUGAUAUGAAAGAGUAUGCCAUAUUUGAAUGAAUUAGUAAUGUGAUUGAAUAAAUACAUAUAAAGGAUGUAAUGAAAAAAAUAACGUUAAAUUAAUAAUUUCUUCUUUAAAGAUAGAAGAACUAAAGCCUGAUUUAGUAGGUAUCAAAUAAAUGACAAAAAAAAAAAAUGUUAAGCACUUGCAGAGCCUAGCCAUUGGAUAAGAUUAGUAUAUUCUUGGUCACACAAAGGGUUAGAAUGGAAUCCCCUUUCCUUGAUUAAUAGAAGCUGACAAGCUAAAGAUCACUUGAUAAAAGGAAAUCCUAGAGUUUUAGUGAAAAUGGAGGUUUAGGUAAUGGGAAAGGCUUAUAUCUAAUUAAGCCAUUCCGACCAUUCAAAGCGAAUAUUAAAGUUAAGCUUGGAAAGAUGAGGAGGACUAAAAUUAUAUUUUAUUUUUAAUUUUAAAAAAUAUUAUAUUAUAUUAUGUUUUGGUGGCCUAACAAUCACACUAUAUUAGUAUCUUUGGUAGGAGGGGAAAGAAAACACAUGAAGAAAGAAAAUUGGGAGGGAGGAAAAACAAAAAAUUAAGUACAAGAUCAUUUGUAGACCUCGUCUAUGGGAGGUGUACGGGUUUUGGACUUCAUUUUUUUACGUUAGAACUCAGCCCAAAAACAUUAAAUAUUAAUAAUUAAUAUAUUUAAAAUUAUUAAAAGUAUCAAUAUAAGAUACUAUUUAUAUAAUAACUAAUUUAAAUGGUACGGUCGACUUGAUAUUUGAAUUUUUUAAGUUAACCAAGUGUAACCCAUGAAUACCUUUAUUAAUUUUCAUUUUGCUAUUUAUUGAGGAUUCAAAAUGAAAUGAAAAAAAAUACAAUUAAUGGUAAAAUCCAUGAAUAUCCUCUUUCAAUUGUUUGAAAGAAUUGGAUUUUUGGACAUAGAAAUCAGCAAAUCCCUCUAUUCUGUUUUGUUUUCCUUCUUUGUUCUUUUUAUUUUAUAUUAAUGAGCAGUAGAAAAUAGAGAAAAUUGUGAGAAAUGGAUCUCUUGAUAAGGUGAUUUUAAAAAUAACCACUCAUAUAAAUUUAUCUGUUUAUAGCAAAAAAUAAGCAUGAGUAGACCAAAAUGCCCUUAAAAACAUCGUUCAAAUUAGGAUCUCGAUAUCUCCCUCUCGCUAGAUAGAAAUAAAAAUAAAUAAAUAAAUGCUCAGCUGUUUGAGCUCGCUCAUCUUUCUUUCUUAGCCCUAUGAACUAUUUCAACUCUGUCAACUCUCUGUUGAGCACCAUGGUCAUCAACUCUCUUAGCUCUCUGAAUUGUAUGAGCUCCGUCAACUCUUUGUUGAUCACCAUCGUCAUCGGGCUAUGGCCUAUCUCUCGGCAUCUGGCCACAGUGUCGUAGAUUAACAGACCCUAUAGUAGAGAUGACAUCAAGAUAUGUUAUUCGGUUUAUUGCUGCAACACUUAAAUUUCUGAAACAUUUGGUGUAAAUUAGAAUAUGGAUUAGAAACAUUGCCCAUAGUUGUUACACGCCAUGCAUCUAUAAUAUGUGCUAGCGUUAUUUUAGCGUGUCACGAUAUUGGUUAUUUUAGGGGCCCGGUAGACACACGACAUUCACAGAAUAGUUGGUUGCACAAUUUCGAUCAGGAUGUGCAUUGAAUCAAUUAGUUACUUGUGUCCAACAAAUGCAAUGAUCGGGUGAAACUGUACAGGGUGUAAUGACAUUUUUAAAUGAGAAUGCAACACUUGAGGACAACACUGCAACGUUGGUGGGUGACACUGCGACUCUCGAGGAUAAUACUACAUCUGAUGAGGGAAAUGAGGAUUUGUUCCCUACCGAUUAAGAUAGAUUUGAUGACAAUUCGGAUGAUGGGCCUGAUGAAUGGCAUGAUGAGAGUUCAGACGAGGAUUGUCUUUAUGAUAGUGACAUUCUAAUUUGCAAUAAUGUUGAAGGUGAAAUAGAACCUGUUGGAGGUGUUGAUGUAAGAGAUGUUCAGUGUGAUGAACCCAUAUACAAUAAUCCCAUCGCUGAUGAGAACGGGAUAUAUUUUCCUGGUACAUUGCUCCAUGAUAGUUACCAAGAAAGGAAAAAUGGAAGGAUAUAUCGUACGUGGGUAAUUCUAGGUGCAGAAAGGUUAUCCUUUCAAACAAUUACAACUAAGGAGUCGACAUGUGCCAAUGAUCCCUUAUACAGAGGAAGAACAUUUUCCUCGAAGGUCGAGUUAAAACAAGUUUUGAAUAUGUUGGCUCUAAAAGAGCAGUUUGGGAUAAGAGUAAAAAGGUCAUGUAAAGCUUGUUAUGAGGUUGGUUGCAAGGACAAGGCUUGCAAGUUCAGUGUGCAUGCAACGAAGUUACCUAAAGGAAGAGAAUAUUGGCAAGUUCGGACAUUCCACAAAGUACACACGUGUACUGUCGAUGGUUUACAAGGGCGAUUUGCAAUCGCGAGUGCGAAGAUAAUUGGUGAACUUAUGUCACACAAGCUUCAGGCUAAUGGAGUAGCAUUGAGACCUAAAGACAUAAUUGGUGAGAUGAGGGUUCAAUGGGGAUUGGAAUGCCUGUGUGGUAAGGCCUAGCAAGCGAAAGAGUAUGCGGAGAGGCUUGUUUUCGAUCCUCUGGAGGAGUCAUUUCAACUACUACUCUCGUAUUUUUAUAUGUUGGAACAAGAAAAUCCUGACACAGUCACUAUAGUAGCUACUGAUGAGGCAGAAAGAUUCAAAUAUUCUUUUGGGGCAUACGGGGCUUGUAUUCGGGGGUUUAGAAAUGUAAUGCAUCCUACAGUUGCAAUUGAUGCAACACAUCUGAAAGACAAGUUCAAGGGUGUGCUGUUUGUCUCUAUAUGUAAAUAUGCGAACGAGUGCAUAUAUCUAGUUGUGUUUGGCAUCGGCCAUGUUGAGGAUGAAGACUUGUGGAUGUGGUUUCUUAGCAAGCUGCGUGAUGCGGUUGAUUGUCUUGAAAACACUAUGUUCAUUUUUGAUCAGUAUCUUAACAUUAAAAAAAUAAUCCAAAAUGCAUACCCAGAAGCGCACCACUAUUUAUACGGGUACCACUUGAAGAAAAACUUUAAAAACAAGUUCAAGCACGACGACGUUUCUAUAAUUUUCACCCUUGCUCAAGAUUGCUAUAAGGUUUUCGAUUUCAACAGACAUAUGAACCAGCUCAAGCAAAUUCAUGUAGGAGCCCACGCUGACCUUAUAAGAAUAGGGCCUAAGAGAUGGGCACGUGCUUGUUCACCGACAAGGCGAUACCAAAUGAUAACAUCUAACAUUGCAGAAUGUGUUAACUCAUGCUUGCAGUAUGCAAGACAAAUACCAAUCACUGUUUUGAUCAAGUUCAUCAGAGACAUGUUCCAACGGUGGUUCCAUGACUGAUACGAGGAGGCCAUCAAGGUUACCACACCCCUCAGCCUUUGAGUUGCCAGGCAGUUGAGCAAAUGGUUCAAUGAUGAACAUUGCUUUGUGGUUAAACCUAUCAAUUGAGUGGAGUUCGAAGUUAAAGACAGAAAGAUGGAUGAACUUGUAAACUCGUCCAUGAAGACAUGUUCAUGUUGUGAGUUCCAAACAGAUUUACUGCCUUGCAGCCAUGCCAUUGCAGCAAUAAGGUUAGAAUAUCUUUAUUUCUUAUUUGAACCCUAAUUGACAUAGUAUUUACAUUGUGCUUGAACAUUGAGAUCAUUGUAUGUUUCAGUAAAUGCAAACGUGAAGCCAUUGAAUUCUACGCUGACUACUACAAGACAACCAUUUUUGUGGAGGGUUAUGCAGGGUCAAUUCGCCAGGUAGGGCAUCCCAGUGAAUGGGAUAUUCUCUUUCAUGUGAAACAAAUUGUUGUCUUACCACCACCUUGGCGAGGCCAAGCGGGAAGACCUAGGAAGAGAAGGAUUCCAUUGGUCGAUGAAGGUAGUUGAGCAUGGAGAUGUUCGCAAUGCAAGAGGUAUGGGCAUAAUAGACAGAAUUGCCCAUCCCCAUUUGUAGUUCCAUCCACAAAUCCAACACCAUCUCCAAGUCAAUCGAUGCCUCCAAGAGUGUGUCGAUCGAAAGCAUGUUCAAGUUGCAGACAAACCGGUCACACACGCAACAACUGUCCAAUACGAAGGACAAUGUCUGAAAACUUAAGGUGUUUUGUGGAUGAAGACAGCUUGUCGGCCUAGCUAAAUGUGUAACCCUGGUGCAAUACCUUUGUCACAAUUUGCUCUUGCAGUAUCUUACAUUCAUUCAUAUUUGGAUUUUAUGUUUGUUAGUUUUCUUUUGUAGAUGAGUCUUUAUUUAUUUUUAUUAAUUUUGUAGAUAUAUUAUUUGAUUAUUAAUUUCAUUUUAUCCGUAGUUUUGAACACUAAAUAAACUUGCGAAGUCCCUGUACUGUUACCCAUUUUCUCACAUUUUAUUACCACUUGUAUUAAAUAAUUAAUUAUUUAAUUUAAUUCCUUUCUAUUUCAUUUGAUUUAACCUUUUAUGUUCUUACAAUCAAAUCUCUUACAAUCUAUAAAAUUAAUUCAUCUAACUUUAGUAGCUUUCUAAAUCCUAAUAUUCAAUUUGUUUUUGUAAUUUUUUAAUUACAACAUUUAUUUUAUCUUAUUAAUACCUCUAUAUAAAACUUUAAGCUAAUCACUUAAGAAAAUAAUAAUAAUAUUGUACGAAGGAGUUUACUUCAAAGGAUGCAAGUAUGGAAAGAGAAAAUUUUGGACUAAUUAAAAACAUAUCAUAUGAAAUUUAAGAUUAAAACACAUGACUUAACCAAACAAAUUUAAAAAAUUUAUGGAUCAUCCAAUCAAAUUUCAUCUAUGAAUCAUCAUAAUUAUUUUUUAUUAAAUAAAAAUAUUUAAAAAAAAUUGAAAUAUAAGGAUGAAAAUUCCUCAAAAAUAUAUUAUGCUAAGCUAAUAAAAGAAAUGCCACGUGGCAUUUUUUAUCAUCUGGUGUGGGGGUUGAGAACAUUGUAAUUGGUAAAUGUCAAUCAGAUCUUAUGGUGACAUGCUGAGUGGAAGCAAAUAGUUGGCGUGACAUACUGAGUGCAUGCAGAUUUUGGUGGUGACACGUUGACUUCUUGCAGUAUUGUGGGGUGACACGACAUGCCCCAUCUUGUGGUGACAUUCUAAGUGGAAGCAGAUAGUUGACGUGACACGCUGAGUGCAUGUAGAUUUCGGUGGUGACAGGCUGACUUCUUACAGUAUUGUGGGGUGACACGGCACGCCCAAUCUUGUGGUGACACGCUGAGUGGAACCAGAUAUUGGUGUGACACGCUAAGUGCAUGCAGAUUUCGGUGGUGACAUGUUGACUUCUUGUAGUAUUGUGGGGUGACACGCUGAGUGGAACUAGAUAGUUGGCGUGACACGCUGAGUGCAUGUAGAUUUCGGUGGUGACACGCUAACUUCUUGCAAUACUGUGGGGUGACAUGACAUGCUCUAUCUUGUGGUGACAUGCUAAGUGGAACUAGAUACUUGGCGUGACACACUGAGUGCAUGCAAAUUCUGGGGGUGAUAAGUUGACUUCUUGCAGCAUUGUGGGGUGGCACGGCACGCCCCAUCUUGUGGUGACACGCUAAGUGGAACCAGAUACUUGGUGUGACACUCUGACUUAUUCUAAUUUUUAGAGGUGACACGCCAUGUCCCAAUGGGGUGACACGCCACGUGGUUGCAGUAUUAAUUUCAAGGCACUAUGUUUGAAUUGAGAAAGAAAAAGUAAUGUAUAAAAUGUAUGAAUAUUAAAAUUAAUUGUAUAUAAAAAAAUAUAGACAAAGGUCGAUAUGUUCAGGGUUCGCUCUCACAACUGUUGGAAAAAAUUUCUAGAAUGUAUUGGCGACGCAUAUUUGCAAUCAUAUUUUGCUUAACUCUGAUUGAUUCCGAUUGUAAAAUAUCGCCAAUGUACCCUAUCAUGAACAUGCCGCAGCUAGCACUAUCAUUCUGCUGAUGCACUUUAGCUUUUGGCAAAUGAAUUUUCAAUGGCAUCGGUGUCAAAUCCAAUGUUUUUCAACGUGUUUUGUUGAAAUAACCAGCUUGGUGGCAGGUGAUUGGCCUAAUUGUCUUAAGGGGUGUCAUCUGAGUUGCUCGCACUCCGUUAUCCUUAGCAUCCGAAGUUCUUACGGAGUCCACUACCUUGAUCGUCCACCUCACCAAGUCGAUCUUCGCUACCACCCAAUGUCCACCCACAUUGCGAGGCGUGAGGAUGAAAUCGACAUCUUCCCAUUUUUUGCAGUAUGUUGGCUUAUCACCCUCCACGUACGCCCGUAACUUAUCUGGAAUAUCCAUACUCGACAGAGCAUUUUCAAUUGAAAAUGAGGUGUGUAGCAUAUGGAUGGUAUCUUGUGAAGCAUGUAUACAUUAGCUUGCACUUAAUGCAACAAAAAACUUAGUAUUUUCAAAAUUGAAAAAUUUUCAAAUUAAUUUACGAAGAAUAUCGUGUCAACCUCGCAUGCAUGGGUAGUGUACAACUUUGACUUCGGCCCUGUCAUCGGCUUACAAAGUACGUUGAGGCAUGCGUCUAUAUGUUCACUACUCAUUUCUUCUUUGGGAUCGUCUAAUGUUGUGAAAAAGUUAGCCCCUUGAUCCUCUAAAAUCCCGACAUUACACCUGCAUAUGUAAUAGAAUGAGUUAGAAAAGCCUUGGUGAAUUAAUGUUUCAUUAAAAAACAAUAUUUGCAAUGUUAUUUAUGUGCUUACAUCGCGCACUCAUUUUUCUUGAAAGCUUCGUAUGCUUCGACCAUUGUGCUCUUUAUAUCCCAACAACUCAUUGAGGGGUCGGCGUACGGGGUUACUCUGUAUUUGCAUGCGAUUUUCACCCGUGCCAGCUCAAUUGGGUCUGAAAUUUAUGCUACAUGAUGAUGGACAUCAGAUGACUCUGAUGACGGCAACCGUGAGCCGUUGGCUUCAAGAGUGCUCUGAGGAAGAUGGUCCCCUCCUGCUGCUGCCUCUAUUAAUGCAUCGACCUACGAAAGAUGGUCCCCUCUUUCUGUUGCCUUGACUAAUGCAUCGGCUAGAGGAAGAUGCUCUCCUUCAGCCACCAUUGAGUGAAGGUCCCCCUCCCCUCCCGCAGAUGCAUCGAUAACCGAAUCUGUCUCAAGAGUAGGGUUUUCUUCAGCGUCAUCUGUUUGAAGGGUCACAUCCCCUACCACAGCAUCAUCCGGAUCGGCCUCAAGAACAGGGUCUCCGUCAGCACCAGCAAUGUCAUCGUGAAUGUGCAAACUAGGUUUAUCAUGAUGCCCAUCAUCAGCAUCAUCAUGGUCCUUACCAACACCGUGAGAUGAAGGACCGCUCUACAGAAUGAGACAAAUGGAAAAAUUCGUUAGCUCAUAUAAUACCACAAACCAUAAACCAAAAACAAAAAAUAGAACUAUACCUACUAAAUGUAAACGACCAAUAUAUGAGCGAAGAUAGAAUAACGUAUCUAUGAUUUUAGGCCGUCUAGAAUCCGAGCAAUGACACUGUCCUUAAAAGUCUGCAUCGCUAGAGUUAACGACUGAAUUAAGGCCUUCAGCUUCGACAUGUCUUUUUUAUACUCGUGCAUGAUCCGUUGCAGCUGACUCUUCGUGACAACUCCGUCAUUGACUCUUGUCGAAUGGGUCAACUAUAAUAACAUAUAUUAUUGUGUUAUUCAAUAAUCAUAUAUGAAAUUGUUGAACAUUACCCGUUAGAACUUUAAUAUUCUUAUCGGCAGCUUAUUACCAUUUUACAGUUGAGCAGGAUCGAUCAGUGGUUGAGGAGCUAUCAUCGCCUCCCUCAACUGCAAUAACAUAAAUUACUGUGGUACUCGAUAACCAUAUGUGAAAAUGUUGAACACAAAUCGUUAGAACCGAUCUUACUGAUGGGUCGUUAGCACUAUGUAUCUAAAGAGGACCUCUCAGUGGUUGAGAAGCUGUCGUCGCAUGGUCCAAUUGCAAACAUAGAUAUGUUAUUUGAUAAUCACAUAUAAAAUUGUUGAACACAAACCGUUAUAAUCGUCCUUAGCGGCUCGUUGUUAGCAUUGUGAGUCUGAGGAGGACCUUUCAGUGGUUGUGGAGCUGUUGUCGUAUGGUCCAACUACAAACACAGAUAUGUUAUUUGAUAAUCACAUGUGGAAUUGUUGAACACAAACCGUUAGAGCCGUCUUUACUGGCUUUUAAUUGCCAUUGCCAUGGUUGUCACCUUCUUUCAUUAACUUGAGGACCGACAGCUCAUCGACGACAGAAACGGCGGUGCGCCUCCGUUUCAUGGCACCAGUGUCUCUUUUAUGCUGCAAGUUUCUCCUUUUUUCCUUCGCACCUAAGCCUCAGUCCGCCCGAUCUUCCAUGUGCCUUAUUGGCACGUAUUGGUGGCCCUCAGAUAAUGGGACAUCAAUGUCCACAAAAUAAUCAUGGCUAUCCUCAUCUAGGGUGGGCUCCAAGGUCUCCACUGCCCACAACUGUAAAAUAGGGAUUGUGAUUAAAUUUUAGAAAAAAUUAUUAUACAAAUUCACAUUAGAAAUUAGUAGCUGUUCACUCACUUGUUGAGAUGACUCUAACAUCUCAACUGCCUUGUAGAAGUCUUUUGGCUUCUGGUUUCAUUGCCAUCUGCACAUGCGUGAGUAGACAUUGUCCUUCGAAGCAGAAGGGGUAAUUAUCUUUCGUAAGGCUGAAAUUGCCUCCAUUGCCCAGAGUUGUAAGUUAAAUGUAACCAUUAUCAGACCGUAAAUGAUAAACGAUUACAACCAUAAAUUAUUAUGUCAAAAGAAAAAUGAAAAAUCUUACGUGAUAGUACCUGUAUUACCCACGCGAAUCCCUAAAUGUUGUAUCGUAAACGAUCCUUUUGCAUGUUCGAGGAAAGCACUUCGAACCCUUUUGAAAGGUAGUCCACGGUCAGCCUCCAAACGUAGUGACUCUAUGGGAAGACAUUCCAAGCGUCGAUGUCCUCCACCAAAGACAAGAGCCAAGGUAUCACUUGUCUACGGUAGUCUUAACCAAAUAAAAUGUUAUUCACGAUCAAAAUGAGUGCCAUCUUGGUCGCGUCUCUUGGUCACUUAAAGUUGCCUCAACGGAACGUAUCAAGCAAGGACUGCAGCUUAACGCUCUGCUGCCCGUUCCAGUAUUAUGCAUGAAUUUCGUCCGCAACAACCUCGUACGGUCGUGUGAACACAUCCGACAUUCGACCAAACUUCAGUCUUAUGAUAAGGCAAAACUCCUACUUUGAUAUGCGCGCCUUGCUUUUCCCAAUGGCAAACCAUAGCUCAUGUUCCAUUGAAUCUGUCACAGUGAUUCGACGGAUCAUGAUGUUAUGCAGGAGACUAGCAAAGAAGUAGCCUUGCGGAUAUACGUCCAGCAACAUUUCGAAGCACGUACGUUUCACUGCAUCGUACUCUCUUAGAAGGUCUUGUUGAUGUAAUGGAGUUACGACCAUUUACAGUGGGUGUUAAUAGUUAUAUUGAAUGCCCACGUCUCCCUCAGCACAAUAAGCAAACCGUCAAGAUCCUUAUACUGUCUAGACUGUAUCUGUAAAACAUGGCACACAUGCACGAGUGAGUUAAUCGAUAAUGUGGUAACACGCCAUAUAUAUAAUAUAAAAUGUGGUAACAAGCCAUGCAUAUAAUGUAAAAUGUGGUAACACGCCAUGCAUAUAAUGUAAAAUGUGGAAACACACCAUGCAUAUAACGUAAAAUGUUAUAACACGCUAUGCAUAUAAAAUAAAAUGUGGUAACACGCCAUGCAUAUAACGUAAAAUAUGGUAACAUGCAAUGCAUAUAACGUAAAAUGUGGUAACACGCCAUGCAUAUAACGUAAAAUGUUGUAACAUGCCAUGCAUAUAAUGUAAAAUUGGUAACAUGCCAUGCAUAUAACGUAAAAUGUGGUAACAUGCCAUGCAUAUAACGUAAAAUGUUAUAAUACGUCAUGUAUAUAACGUAAAAUAUGGUAAUAUGCCAAACGCUGACACGCCAUGCAUAUAACGUAAAAUGUGGUAACAUGCCAACGCUGACAUGCCAAUCACUAUAAUUACUGUGUCCUUACAUGAAUUGGCCUAAAAUACCCGUGGUGUGUGACACGCCAAUCACUGUAAUUACUUACUCGUUGCACGAAUUGUCCUAAAAUAACCAAUGUCAUGACACGCUAAAAACCCUAAAAAGCAAUUUACCCACUACACGCCAUAUCUGUUGUAGUUCAAAACUUUGGUACGACCAUAAAAUCGAGAAGAAAAUAGUUUAAACAUAACAAUUGAAAAAGAUUGAAAAAACACGUACAUAUCACACAAACCCAGCAAAAAAUCAACAAAAGUUUCAAAAGUUUUAUUUUCAGACUGACUGACCUCUUCACUAGUAACCCACAUUGUUGCUGUGGUGUCGUCAAGCUUGCAAAGAAGAAAGUCGAACACUCUGGUAUCUUUGGGAAUGAGGAAUGACGAAUGAACCUCUUCACAUAGACGUUUGCGAUUUCUGAAAAAUAUUUAAUUAAAAUAAAAUGGCCUCACAAUUUCCUCUAUAAAUAUUCAUUUGUUGAAUUCAUUCAGUUGAAGUCCAAUCAGUUUCCUUGUUAUUUGCCUGCUUUUUUUUUCCUUUUUCAAACCAUGUCGUGUCACCCAUAAAUUGCCAUGCUAUGUCACACACUUUAAACCCUGCCGUGUCACGGAUCUGCAUGAAGUCUGACAAACUCUGAACCCUGUCGUGUCACAGAUUCCCUCCAUGGGGUGUCACGAACUCUAAACGCUGAUGUGUCAUAGAUUCCCUCCAUGGUGUGUCAUCAACUCUGAACGCUGACGUGUCAUAGAUUCCCUCCAUAGCGUGUCACCAACUCUGAACUUUGACGUCUCACAGAUUCCCUCCAUGGCGUGUCACAAACUCUGAGCGUGGGCUUUAUUUUCUGUUUUGUUUUCCUUUCUUUUUCUUUUUAUUUUAUAUUAAUGAGUAGUAGAAAAUAGAGAAAAUUGUGAGAAAUAGACCUUUUGAUAAGGUGAUUUUAGAAAUAAUCAUCUAUAUAAAGUUAUCUAUUUCUAGCCAAAAAUAAGCAUGAGUAGACCAAAAUGCCCUUAAAAACAUCGUUUCAAAUUAAGGUCUCGAUAUCUCCCUCUCGCCAGAUAGAAAUAAAAAUAAAUAGAUAAAUGCUUAGCUUUUUGAGCUCGCUCAUCUUUCUCUCUUAGCUCUCUAAACUGUCUCAACUCUGUCAACUUUCUGUUGAGCACCAUCGUCAUCAGCUCUCUCAGCUCUCUGAAUUGUAUGAGCUCUGUCAACUAUUUGGUGAGUACCAUCGUCAUCGAGUUGUGGUUUAUCUCUCGGCAUCUGGCCACAGUGUCAUAGAUUAACAAACCUUAUAGUAAAGAUGACAUCAAGGUAUGUUAUUGGGUUUAUUGCUGCAACACUUAAAUUUCUGAAACAUUUGGUGUAAAUUAGAAUAUGGAUUAGAAACAUUGCCUAAAGUUGUUAUAGGCCAUGCAUCUAUAACAUGUGUUAACGUUAUUUUAGCGUGUCACAACAUUGGUUAUUUUAGGACAAUUUUUGUAACGAGUCUGUAAUUACACUGAUUGACGUGUCACAUGCCAUGAGUAUCUUAGGCCAGCUCGUGUAAGGACAGACAUAAUAAUUAUAGUGAUUGGAGUGUCAGCGUUGGCGUGUUACCACAAUUUACGUUAUAUGCAUGGCGUGUUACCACAUUUGACGUUAUAUGCAUAGCGUGUUACCACAUUUUACGUUAUAUGCAUGGGGUGUUACCACAUGACUGGCAAAUUCUAAAACACGGCAUGUCAUGUAAUGUGUUAAAUGAUUGACAAAUUAUUGUUGUUUUCAAAAUUUCAGUGGGGUUCCAGUUGUGCGACUUGUGAUAAGACACGUGGUCAGUGGGUGGAUGGCAUUUGCAAGAGUGGUGAGUCACGAAAGUAGGGGUUAGGAGUGAUUUGUCGUUUGUGGGAUUGAUGAAGCUGGUUGAAGAUGUUGUUGGGAUAAACUCAAAAAUUAAUGAGAUUGAGUUACAUGCAUUGAUCAGUACACCAGAAGAGUUAUCACGGCCAAUUAUCAAGGACGAUGAGGAUGUUGCAUUAAUUCUGCUAGAACAGAGGAAUGUUUCGGCUGUGUAUGUCAACAUUAAGGGACGUCAAACAAAUGUUAUGUCACAUGAAAAAGUUGAACAACAUGGUAAUCAGCUCAAUCAAAAUGAGAUAUACAAUGCUUCACAUAUAUGAUAGCAUUCGGUUUGUAACCCACAACAAUGGCAAUUGACGUAUGCACAAGAGUUUGUGCAGCUCGGCAGACACACGACAUUCAUAAAAUAGUUGGCUGCACAAUUUCGAUCAGGAUGUGCAUCGAACCAAUUAGUUACUUGUGUCCAACAAAUGCAACGAUCGGGUAAAACUGUACAGGGUGCAAUGGCAUUUUCAAAUGAGAAUGCGACACUUGAGGACAACAUUGUGAUGUUGGAGGGUGACACUACGACGCUCGAGGAUAAUACUACAUCUGAUGAGGGAAAUGAGGAUUUAUUCUCUGUCAGUGAAGAUAGAUUUGAUGACAAUUCGAAUGAUGGGCCUGAUGAAUGGCAUGAUGAGAGUUCAGACGAAGACUAUCUUUAUGACAGUGACAUUCUAAUUUGCAAUAAUGUUGAAGGCGAAAUGGAACCUGUUAGAGGUGUUGAUGUAAGAGAUGUUCAAUGUGAUGACCCCAUAUACAAUAGCCUCAUCGCUGAUGAGAAUGGGAUUCAUUCCAACUGGUACAUUGCUCCAUGAUAGUUAUCAAGAAAGGGGAAAUAGAGGGAUAUCUCGUACGUGGAUAAUUUCAGGUGUAGAAAGGUUUUCCUUCCAAACAAUUACAACUAAGGUGUCGACAUGUGCCAAUGAUCCCUUAUACAAAGAAAGAAUAUUUUCCUCGAAGGCUGAGUUGAAACGAGCUUUAAAUAUGUUGGCUCUAAAAGCGUAGUUUGGGAUAAGAGUAAAAAUGUCAUGUAAAGCUUGUUAUGAGGUUGGUUGUAAGGACAAGGCAUGCAAGUUCAGUGUGCAUGCAACAAAGUUACCUAAAUGAGGAGAAUAUUAGCAAGUUCGGACAUUCCACAAAGUACACACAUGUACUGUUGAUGGUUUGCAAGAGCGAUUUGCAACUGCGAGUGCGAAGAUAAUUGGUGAACUUAUGUCACACAAGCUUUAUGCUAAUGGAGUAGCAUUGAGACCUAAGGACAUAAUUGGUGAGAUGAAGGUUCAGUGGGGAUUGGAAUGCCUGUAUGGUAAGGCUUGGCAAGCGAAGGAGUAUGCGAAGAAGCUUGUUUUCGGUCCCCUAGAGGAGUGAUUUCAACUACUACCCUCGUAUUUUUAUAUGUUAGAACAAGAAAAUCCCGGCACAGUCACUACAGUGGCUACUGAUGAGGCAGAAAGAUUCAAAUAUUGUUUUUAGGCAUACGGGGCUUGAAUUCAAGGGUUUAGGGAUGUAAUGCUUCCUACAGUUGCAAUUGAUGCGACACAUCUGAAAGACAGGUUCAAGGGUGUGCUGUUUGUUGCUAUAUGUAAAGAUGCGAACGAGUGUGUAUAUCUAGUUGCGUUUGGCAUCAGCCAUGUUGAGGACGAAGACUCAUGGACGUGGUUUCUUAGCAAGCUGCGUGAUGCAAUUGGUUGUCCUGAAAACACUAUGUUCAUUUUUGAUCAGUAUCUUGACAUGAAAAAAGUAAUCCAAAAUGCAUACCUAAAAGCGCACCACGGUUUAUACGGGUACCACUUGAAGAAAAAAUUUAAAAACAAGUUCAAGCGUGACGACGUUGCUAUGAUUUUCACCCUUACUCGAGAUUGCUAUAAGGUUUUUGAUUUCAACAGACAUAUGAACCAGCUCAAGCAGAUUCACGCAGGAGCCCACACUGACCUUAUGAGAAUAGGCCCUCAGAGAUGGGCAGUGCCUGUUCACCAGACAAGGCGAUACCAAAUGAUGACAUCCAACAUUGCAGAAUGUGUUAACUCAUACUUGAAGUAUGCAAGACAAAUGCCAAUCACUAUUUUGAUCGAGUUCAUCAAAGACAUGUUCCAGCUUUGGUACCAUGAUCGAUACGAGGAGGCCAUCAAGGUGACCAUGCCCCUCAGACCUUGGGUUGCCAAGCAGUUGAGGAAAUGGUUCAAUGAUGCACAUUGCUUUGUGGUUAAACCUAUCAAUCGAGUGGAGUUUGAAGUUAAAGAUAGGAAGAUGGAUGGACUUGUAAACUUGUCCACGAAGACAUGUUCAUGUUGUGAGUUCCAAAUAGAUUUACUGCCAUGCAGCCAUGCCAUUGUAGCAAUAAGGUCAGAAUAUCUUUAUUUCUUAUUUGAACCCUAAUUGACAUAGUAUUUACAUUGUGCUUGAACAUUGAAAUCAUUGUAUAUUUCAGUAAAUGCAAACGUGAAGCCAUUGAAUUUUGCGCUGACUACUACAAGACAACCGUUUUUAUGGAGGGUUAUGCAGGGUCAAUUCGCCUGGUAGGGCAUCCCAGUGAGUGGGAUAUGCCCCCUCAUGUGAAACAAAUUAUCGUUUUGCCACCACCUUGGCAAAGCCAAGCGAGAAGACCUAGGAUGAGAAGGAUUCCAUCAGUCUAUGAAGGUAGUUGAGCACGGAGAUGUUCGCAAUGCAAGAGGUACGGGCAUAACAGAUAGAAUCGCCCAUCCCUAUUUGCAGUUCCAUCCACAAAUCCAACACCAUCUCCAAGUCAAUCGGUGCCUCCACGAGUGCACCAACUGAAAGCAUGUUCAAGUUGCAGACAAACCGGUUACACACGCAACAACUGUCCAAUACGAAAGACAAUGUCUAAAAACUUAGGGUGUCUUGUGGAUGAAGACAGCUUGUCAGCCUAACUAAAUGUGUAACCCUGGUGCAAUACCUUUGUCACAAUUUGCUCUUGCAGUAUCUUACAUUCAUUCAUAUUUGGAUUUUGUGUUUGUUAGUUUUCUCUUGUAGAUGAGUCUUCAUUUUUUUUUAUUAAUUUUGUAGAUAUAUUAUUUGAUUAUUAAUUUCAUUUUGUCCGUAGUUUUGAACACUAAAUAGACUUGCGAAAUCCCUAUACUGUUACCCCAUUUCUCACAUUUUAUUACCACUUGUAUUAAAUAAUUAAUAAUUUAAUUUAAUUCCUUUCUAUUUCAUUUGAUUUAACCUUUUAUGUUCUUACAAUCAAAUCUCUUACAAUCUAUGAAAUUAAUUCAUCUAACUUUAGUAGCAUUCUAAAUUCUAAUAUUCAAUUUGUUUUUGUAAUUUUUUAAUUACAAAGUUUAUUUUAUCUUAUUAAUACCUCUAUAUAAAACUUUAAGCCAAUCACUUAAGAAAAUAAUAAUAAUAUUGUACGAAAGAGUUUACUUCAAAGGAUGCAAGUAUAGAAAGAGAAAAUUUUGGAGUAAUUAAAAACAUAUCAUAUGAAUUUAAAGAUUAAAACACAUGACUUGACCAAACAAAUUUUAAAAAUUUAUGGAUCAUCCAAUUAAAUUUCAUCUAUAAAUCAUCAUAAUUAUUUUUUAUUAAAUUAAAACAUUUUAAAAAUAAAAUUAAAAUAUAAGGAUGAAAAUUCCCCAAAAAUAUAUUAUGCUAAGCUAAUAAAAGAAAUGCCACGUGACAUUUUUGAUCAUCUGGUGUAGGGGUUGAGAUUACGCUGUAAUUGGUAGAUGUCAAUUAGAUCUUAUGGUGACACGCUGAGUGAAAGCAAAUAGUUGGCAUGACACGCUGAGUGCAUGCAGAUUUCGGUGGUGACACACUGACUUUUUGCAGUAUUGUGAGGUGACACGACAUGCCCCAUCUUGUGGUGACACAUUGAGUGGAAGCAGAUAGUUAGCGUGACACGUUGAGUGCAUGCAGAUUUCGGUGGUGACACGCUGACUUCUUGCAAUAUUGUGGGGUGACACGACUUGCCCAAUCUUGUGGUGACAUGCUAAGGGGAACUAGAUAGUUGGCGUGACACGCUGAGUGCAUGCAGAUUUUGAUGGUGACAUGCUGACUUCUUGCAGUAUUGUGGGGUGACACGGCACGCCCCAUCUUGUGGUGACACGCUAAGUGGAACCAGAUACUUGGCGUGACACGUUGAGUGCAUGUAGAUUUUGGGGGUGACAAGUUGACUUUUUGCAGUAUUGUAAGGUGACACGGCACGCCCCAUCUUGUGGUGACACGCUGAGUGGAGCCAGAUACUUGGCGUGACACGCUAACGUGUUCUAGUUUUUAGAGGUGACACGCCAUGUCCCAAUGGGGUGACACGCCACAUGGUUGCAGUAUUAAUUUCAAGGCACUAUGUUUGAAUUGAGAAAAAAAAAAGUAAUCUAUAAAAUGUAUGAAUAUUAAAAUUAAUAAAAUUAAUUAUAUAUACAAAAAAAGUAUAGAUAAGGGUCGAUAUGUUCAGGGUUCAUUCUCACAACUGUUGAAAAAAAUUUCUAGGAUGUAUUGGCGACACAAAUUUGCAAUCAUAUUCUACUUAACUUUGAUUGAUUCCGGUUGCAAAAUAUCGUCAAUGUACCCUAUCAUGAACAUGUUGCAGCUAACACUAUUAUUUUGCCAAUACACUUUAGCUUUUGGCAAAUAAAUUUUCAAUGGCAUCGGCGUCAAAUCUUGUGUUUUCCAACAUGUUUUGUUGAAAUAACCAACUUGGUGGUAGAUGAUUGGCAUAAUUGUUGUAAGGGGUGUCAUCUGAGCCGCUCACACUCCGUUAUCCUUAGCGUCCAAGUUCUUGAGGAGUCCACCACCUUAAUCGUCCACCUCACCAAUUCGAUCUUCACUACCACCCAAUGCCCACCCACAUUGCAAGGCGCGAGGAUGAAAUCGACGUCGUCCCUUUUUUUUGCUGUAUGUUGGCUUAUCACCCUCCACGUACGCCCGUAACUUAUCUGGAAUUUCCAUACUCGAUCGAGCAUUUUCAGUUGAAAAUGAGGUGUGUAGCAUAUGGAUGGUAUCUUGUGAAGCAUGUAUACAUUAGCUUACACUUAAUGCAGUAAAAAACUUAGUAUUUUCAGAAUUAAAAAUUUUUCAAAUUAAUUUACGAAGAAUAUCGUGUCAACCUCGCAUGCACGAGUAGUGUACAGCUUCGACUUCAGCCCUGUCAUCUACUUACAAAGUACACUGAAGCAUGCGUCUAUAUGUUCACUACUCAUUUCUUCUUUAGGAUUCUCUAAUGUUAUGAACAAGUCAGCCCCUUGAUUCUUUAAGAUCUCGACAUUACGCCUGCAUAUGUAAUAGAAUGAGUUAGAAAAGCCUUGGUGAAUUAAUGUUUCAUUAAAAAACAAUAUUUGCAAUGUUAUUUAUGUGCUUACCUCGUGCACUCGUCUUUCUUGAAAGCUUUGUACGGUUCGACCAUUGUGCUCUUUACAUCCCGACGAUUCAUUGAGGGGUAGACGUACGAGCUUGCUCUGUAUUUGCUCGCCAUUUUCACCCGUGCCGGCUCAAUUGGAUUUGAAAUUUAUGCUGCAUGAUGAUGGACAUCAGAUGACUCUAAUGACGGCAACUGUGAGCUGCUGGCUUCAGAAGUGCUCUGAGGAAGAUGGUCCCCUCCUACUGUUGCCUCGAUUAAUGCAUCGGCUUAAGGAAGAUGGUCCCCUCCUCCUACUGCCUCGACUAAUGCAUUGGCUUAAGGAAGAAGCUCUCAUUCAGCCACGAUUGAGUGAAGGUCCCCCUCCCCUCCCGCAGAUGCAUCGAUAAUCGAAUUCGCCUCAAGAACAGGGUCUCCUUCAGCAUCAUAUGAUUAAAGGGUCACAUCCCCUACAACAGCAUCAUCCGGAUCGGCUUCAGGAACAAGGUCUCCGUCAGUGCCACCAACAUCAUCGUGAAUGUGCAAACUAGGUUUAUCAUGAUGCCCAUCAUUAGUAUCAUCGUGGUCCUCAACAACACUGUGAGAUGAAGGAUUGCCUACAGAACGAGAUAAAUGGAAAAAUUCAUUAGCUCAUAUAAUGCCACAAACCAUAAACCGAGAACAAAAAAUAGAACUAUACCUACUAAAUGUAAAUGACCAAUAUAUGAGCGAAGAUAGAAUAACGUACUUGUGAUUUUAGGCCGUCUAGAAUUUGAGCAAUGACACGGUCUUUAAACGUUUGCAUCGUCACAGUUAACGACUGAAUUGAAGCCUUCAACUCUGACAUGUCUUUUUUAUUCCCGUGCAUGAUCCGUUGUAGCUGACGCUUCGUGACUACUCCGUCAUUGACUCUUGUUAAAUGGGUCAACUGCAAUAAUAUAUAUUACUGUGUUAUUCAAUAAUCAUAUAUGGAAUUAUUAAACAUUACUCGUUAUAACUUUAAUAUCUUUAUCGGCGGCUUAUUACCACUUUAUAGUUGAGCAGGACUGAUAAGUGGUUGAGGAGCUGUCAUCGCCUCCCUUAAUUGUAAUAACAUAAAUUACUAUGGUAUUUGAUAACCAUAUGUGAAAAUGUUGAACAUAAACCGUUAGAACCGAUCUUACUGGCGGGUCAUUAACACUGUGCGUCUAAGGAGGACCUCUCAGUGGUUGAGGUGCUGUCGUCGCAUGGUCUAACUGCAAACACAGAUAUGUUAUUCGAUAAUCACAUAUGAAAUUGUUGAACACAAACCGUUAUAACCGUCCUUACUGGCUCAUUGUUAGCAUUGUGAGUUUGAGGAGGACCUUUCAAUGGUUGUGAAGUUGUUGUCGCAUGGUUCAACUACAAACACAGAUAUGUUAUUUGAUAAUCACAUGUGGAAUUGUUGAACACAAACCGUUAGUCGUAUUUACCGGCUCUUCAUUGCCAUUGCCAUGGUCGUUACCUUCUUUCAUCAACUUAGGGAUCGAUAGCUCAUCGACGACAGAAGCGACGGUGCGCCUCCGCGUCAUGGCACUAGUGGCUCUUUUAUGCUAUAAGUUUCUCCUCUUUUCCCUCACACCUAAACCUCAGUCCGCCCGAUCCUCCAUGUGCUUUAUUGGCACGUUUUGGUGGCCCUCAGAUAAUGGGACAUCAAUAUCCAUAAAAUAAUCCUGGCUAGCCUCAUCCGAGUUUGGGCUCAAAAGUCUCCACUGCCCACAACUGUAAAAUAGGGAUUGUGAUUAAAUUUUAGGAAAAAUUAUUAUACAAAUUUACAGCAGAAUUUAGUAGCUAUUCACUCACCUGCUGAGAUGACUCCAACAUCUCAACUGCUUUGUAGAAGUCUUUUGGCUUCUAGUUUCAUUGCCAUCUGCACAUGCGUGGGUAGACAUUGUCCUUCGAAGUAGAGGGGGCAACUAUCUUUCGUAAGGUCGAAAUUGCCUCAAUUGCCCAGAACUGUAAGUCAAAUGUAACCAUUAUCAGACCGUAAAUGAUAAACGAUUACAACCAUAAAUUAUUAUGUCAAAAGAAAAAUGAAAAAUCUUACGUGACAGUACCUAUAUCACUCACGUGAAUCCGUAAAUGUUGUAUCGUAAACGAUCCUUCUGCAUGUUCGAGGAAAGCACUUCGAACCCCUUCCAAAGGUAGUCCAAGGUCAGCUUCCAAACGUAAUGACCCCAUGGGAAGACAUUCGAAGCGUCGAUGUCUUCCACCAACGACAAGAGCCAAGGCAUCACUUGUCUAUGGUAGUUUUGACCAAAUAAAAUGUUAUUCGCGAUCAAAAUGAGUGCCAUCUUGGUCGCGUCUCCUAAUUGCUUAAAGUUGCCUCAACAGAACGUAUCAAGUAAGGCCUGCAGCUUAACGCUCUAUUGCCCGUUCCAGUAUUGUGCAUGAAUUCCGUUUGCAACAACCUCAUACGAUAGUGUGAACACAUCCGGCAUUCGACCAAACUUCAGUCCGGUGAUAAGGUAGAACUCUUGCUUUGAUAUGCGUGCCUUGCUUUUCCCAAUGGCAAACCAUAGCUCAUGCUCUAUUGAAUCUGUCACAGUGAUUCGACGGAUCAUGAUGUUAUGCAGGAGAUUAGCGAAGAAGUAGCCUUGCGGAUAUACGUCUAGCAGCAUUUCGAAGCAUGUACGCUUCACUGCAUCGUACUCCUAUUUCUCUUCAAGGGUCUUGUUGGUGUAAUGGAGUUACGACCACUUACAGUAGGUGUUAAUAGCAAUGUUGAAUGCCCACUUCUCCCUCAACACAAUAAGCAAACUAUCAAGAUCCUCAUACUGUCUGGACUGUAUUUGUAAAACAUGGCACACAUGCAUGAGUGAGUUAACCCAUAAUGUGGUAACACGCCGUACAUAUAAUAUAAAAUGUGGUAACAAGCAAUGCAUAUAACGUAAAAUGUAGUAACACGCCAUGCAUAUAACGUAAAAUGUGGAAACACGCCAUGCAUAUAACGUAAAAUGUUGUAACACACCAUGCAUAUAACGUAAAAUGUGGUAACACGCCAUGCAUAUAAUGUAAAAUGUUGUAACACGCCAUGCAUAUAACGUAAAAUGUGGUAACACACCAAAUGCUGACACUCCAUGCAUAUAACGUAAAAUGUGAUACCACACCAACGCUGACACGCCAAUCGCUAUAAUUAUUGUGUUCUUACAUGAACUGGCCUAAAAUAUCCGUGGCGUGUGACACGUCAAUCACUGUAAUUACAGACUCGUUACACGAACUGUCCUAAAAUAACCAAUGUCGUGACACGCUAAAAACCCCAAAAAGUAAUUUAUCCACUACACGCCAUAUUUGUUGUAGUUCAAAACUUUGGUACGACCAUAAAACCGAGAAGAAAACAGUUUAAACAUAACAAUUGAAAAAGAUUGAAAAAACACGUACAUAUCACACAAACCUAACAAAAAAUCAACGAAAGUUUUAAAAGUUUUAUCUUCAGACUGACUGACCUCUUCACUAGUAACUGACAUUAUUGUUGUGGUGUCGUUAAGCUUGUAAAAAAGAAAGUCGAACAGUCUAGUAUCUUUGGGAAUGAGGAAUGACAAAUGAACCUCUUCACACAAACGUUUGUGAUUUCUGAAAAAUAUUUAAUUAAAAUGAAAUGGCCUCACACUUUCCUCUAUAAAUAUUCAUUUAUUGAAUUCAUUCAGUUGAAGUCCAAUCGGUUUCCUCGUUAUUUGCCUGUUUUUUUUUCCUUUUUCAAACCAUGUUGUGUCACCCAUCAAUUGCCAUGUUGUGUCACACACUUUAAACGUUGCCAUGUCACGGAUCUCCAUGGAGUUUGAGAAACUCUGAACCUUGCCAUGUCACAGAUUCCCUCCAUGGCGUGUCACCAACUCUGAAUUUUGGCGUCUCACAGAUUCACUCUAUGGUGUGUCAUAAACUCUGAACGUUGGCGUGUCACAGCCGUGUCACACAUUCCCACCAUGGCGUGUCACCAACUCUAAACCCUGUUGUGUCACAGCUGUGUCACACAUUCCAACCAUGUCGUGUUAUAAACUCUAAACUUUGUCGUGUCACACAUUCCUAACAUGCCGUUUCACAAACUCUAAACUCUGCCCUGUCACAACCGUCUCACAUAUGGCUUGCUGUAGCAUGACCAUUUCAUGCUUUGGAUUCACAUCUUUCUCCUUUCGAUUCACCACCGUAUCAGGGAUUUUUGGUUUCACAUCAUUCUCCAAGCUUUCAAUUCAUCACGACCGGUUCCUCGUUCGGUUUAAUAUCACUCUUCUCCUAUUAUCUAAAUGUCAUGUCCCAAAUCUCUAAAAAACCAUCUCAUACAACAUUAUUUUGUUUUGCACAAGCUUCACGAAAAAAUAGAUGUUUUACACAAAAUUAGAUGUUCGCAAUUUAUUUGCAUAUUUAUUUUCUCAUUUUUCGCCUGUUUGAGAGUGCGCGUCAACUAAGAUGACUCAUUAAGGGCAUUUUUGUCCCAAAAUCUAUUUUCGUGGCUAAAAACAAUUAAAAUUAUUUGGAAGCUUAUUAACAAAAACAUGUUAUUUUUAAGAGUUAAAAAAAAAAUUUCCCCUAGAAAAUAUUGUAGACGUUCUUUCUUUUCUUUCCAACUUUGUUUUUUCUUUCCUGCCAAUUUCAAACAUAUAAAAAAUUUGGUUUAAUAUUUUGGAGCUGCGCAUAGUAUUGGCAUCAAAAGGAAAUGGAGAGGCAAUGAAAGAAAGCGCAUUAUGUUCCAAUCCCGAAGCAAUCUUUAGCCAAAAUCUCUCUUUUUUUUUUCCUUGAGUGCCUGCUCUUGAGGCUAAUGUUUUAUUCCUUUUUGAUGGUCUCUUUUCACCUUUUCAGAAACAAAGAACGCAAAGCAGAUAUCUAGAUUCCAAAUCAUGGAAAACGUCAAACUCAUAGCAUGAUAUGAUUGCCCCAAUACCCCCCUCUCCACUUACAUCCUCUUCGAUUCCCUUUCCUCUCGAUGAUUCACAGGUUUCUAGUUUCUACCCCAUGUUUAUUGCAAGUGUGCUUUCACAUUCCAAGAAGGGAAAGGGUGGCCCGAAGAUUGUUUUUCUUUUCUUCUGUAUUGGACUAUAGCGGUGCAAGGCUUUAAAGAAAAUAUAAAUGGAGACAUAAAGGGGAAUAUUCUUGAGGUGGAAGAUAGCGGAUUAAUGGAAGUCUUGAUGGGUGGAAGAAGGAGCUUGUUUCAGUGGUUUCAGGCAGUUGGAUACCUGAGCAAGUAAUAAAGCGCAACAACUUUCUGCUUGUUGUUUUAGGUGAUGGAAUUCUUUGGUCCAUAAGGAGGGAGGUGGAAGACAGUUUAACGUACCAUCUCUGUCAAAAGUCAUGCUGUAAGUGCACAUGCUCAGCCUCAGAUUCCAAUUACAAACUAUUUGGUCACAGUAUCAGUUUGGAACAACCAGCCCUGUUGGCUAAAAACCAUAAGAUUGGUUCUUCAGAGGUCAUUCAAGCGUUUAAACCUUGAAUUAAAUCUUUUUUAAACAAAUAGUUUGUUCGGUUUUCGAGUUACAACAAUAUUGUGUUAUCUUAUUUCACAAAAGUGAUGCAUUUGAAAUUAACAUCAACAAUACAGUCUAAGACUUUCAAUGGCAUUUACCGGCAACCGAGACCAAUAAAAUCAUCUUUCAAAAAAAAAAGGAAAUUAAUAUUAACAAAAGACUCUUAAUAAGAUUCGAUUCGAAUAUAAUUUGAAUAUAAAAUAACUGACAUUGAUACACAGAUUGAACUAUAAUCUUGAAAUUUUUUUCUUAAAGGCUUUUGACUUUUGAAUUCAAAUUUUAUGAUAAAUUAGAGAUGAUUUAUAAAAUAAGAAAUAAAGCUUAAAGAAACAAUUUAAUUUCAAUAACCUAGAAAAAAACCUCUGCAAAUGUACUUGUUAUAAUUGUUUGAGAUACCUGUUUGUGGUAGAUUAAGAAAUUUUUCUAAGUGGUGUCAUGGUUAAAAUAAUGAUAAUAAAUAAAAAAAUAUUAAUAUUUAAAUUAUAAAAAAAUAUUUUUAUCUUUUCAUGUAGUAUUUAACUAUAUUAGUCCAGAUAGAGCCAGAAACAUGGUAAAGUAAGGUGAGUGAAAUAAAUUGACUUGAUGAAAAUCUUGCAUGUUUCCACUGUUUCUUGAAGCGAAAUUUAUUUGAUGGAUCAAGUUGUAGCUAGCUAAAAAGACUAAUGGUGAUUAUCAAAGAUGUAAUUCUAAUGAUAAUAUAUAGUAGCUUAAAUCGACAAGAAGUUCAGCCCGAGUAUAUACAAAUCUUCUGCUCGAACAAUUACAUAUUCUGCCAAAGUACUGUAGCUAGCUUAGCCCCAAAGAAAGCUAAUCAGUAGAGACCCCGCAUCUCAAAUAUUCUUGCUGAUUAAUCUUCUCAGGGUGCAGUCGUUUCCUGCCACUGAGAGGGACUCCAAAAAGCUUCACAGUGUUGUUUGGCUCCUCUGUUAGAGUCAUUGAUGACUUGCCCAAAACGCUGCUUGUAGCAUUUUCAUUGCCAGAAUGGAUUGGAUCUUGAAACGAAGGACCCAAUUCUCUGAUCUUUGUUCCUAAAUUAUAAGCUUUUUGCUGAUAAGGCACUGGUUUUACAUGAUUUUGGAUAAAAUAAAUGAUGUCAUUGUAAAGGUUCUUCAUGUGAGUGAGUUCAGACACAAGCAUGUAGUUCUUUCUGCGUAGUCUCUGAUUAUCUUGGGUGAGUGCUGUUAGAACAUCGGCGCUGGCUUUCGGAGAUGGUGACGGGGACUCGAUCCAUCCAAAGCCUUCUUCUGGCUUGAGAAACUGGGUUUGUUGUUCAUGGUGGUACUGUUGGUGAUUUUGAGGGGUUUUUCUUCUAUGGAUCUCCGAUAGCAAGUGCUUUGCUCCUUUCCUGAAGUACUCGUUCGCAAACUCCCAUCUGUCUGCCACUACCUUCUUAAAUCCCUGAGAUUUUUUCAACCAUUACCAAGAUUGAGAAACAUUAUUUAACCAUAUUUCAACACAAAGUCUCAACUGAAUAUAUUAUGAAAAGCAACUCUAUUAAGAUCGUCAAAAAAUGGAAUGAGACUGAGAGCUUCAUUCAGUGAUCAAGUAAAGGAGAGAGUGUAUAUAUAGCAAAUGAUUUGAUUGUUGAGAAUCAUAUAUUGAAAUACUGAGCAUCCAGUACAUUGAUCUCUGCUGAUAUUUGAACCUAAAAAACAACAACAAUAAGAUAAAGAUCUUGAGAAAGAAAAAGGGAUAAACAACACAUCAUUUAAACAAUCAAUUAAAGGCUGAGAGAAACCUAGAGUCCUAAACGUCGGGGAACUUAAAGCCUGGAAAACCAUCUAAAAUCAUAUUUCAUUCAAAGAAAAACCAAGUUGGGGAGAGAGAGAGAGAGAGAGAAGGCUCACAUAGGUAUUAAGCUGCCUGACAAAGCUGGAGAAAUUGUUGUGCUUGAAAUAGCUGGGCAGAAGAUCCCUCGCAAACUCAGGGGGUCUCCACACAACAAAGCUUGUCUCAUCUUCACCCCAUGAGACAAUGUGGUCUGUGAGAGGGUCGUCAACAAGCUGGUAGGUCUUUGAAAGAAAUGGUGCAGGAACUGCCUUUUGGGAUUCCACAGAGAACACCAACUCUUCACUCCUCUCCACGGUGAAUGCCAUUAUACCAAAUACUAAAGAUUAGCAAGUGGUAGUUUCUAUCCUCAUUUCACUCCAAGUAUAAGGCGUUUAAAGCACAGGCACUUCUCUCUCUCUCAUUAUAACUUUCUAGCUUUAUGAAACAGAAACAUAUGACCUUGUCACUAAAAUAAAAGCUACUAUUCUUUCCUCUCUCUCUCUCUCUCUCUCUCUAUUAUNCUUACGUUCACUAAAAUAAAAAUGAACUACUAUUCUUUCCUCUCUCUCUCUCUCUCUCUCUCUAUAGUUUAUAACUUUAAGAAGCAUAUGACCAUGUCAGCCAAAAAAAUUGAAUAUUUCUAGAAUUACUAUAAUAAGAUCCAAUGAACUAUUAAUUAGCUAUUGAUUGUCCUUUUGACAGCAGAAUGGGUGGUGAAUGCUGAUGCUUCAUGAACUCUUCCAACUUUUCCCCUUGAUUAGGGCACUCCCAAUUUCUGAUCUCCGAAAUCUCUUUUAAUUCAGUGACCUUUAUUACUUUUGUUAACACCUGAAAGUACUGCCCUACUUGACAAACUGAUUAUUUUACUCAACUUCUGUUUUGCCAGCGAUUAAAAUGGUUUUUGCCUUGCAGAUUACACGAGCUAUUAUUUGUUGUUCCGUAGCUUUUAUGUUUGUCUUUUGGAACAAGGUCGAUACUCUGUCUAUAUACAAGAUCAGGUUUAGCCUGACUAUUGUUAUCCUUCUUUAUUAAAAGAGUUCAGAUAUAGGUCCAAUCUUCUCUCCAUUUUUUGUUUUUCAUCAGAGUCGAUAUCCUCUUGAGAAACUUGUUUGCAGCUAGAGAUUCUCACACAUGACACCAUUAUUCUCGAGAAUGAAUUCCUUCAUUAUUAAUUAAUGGCAGCUUAAUCUUGACUAAAAGAUUCCACAAUCGGGAUGUACCAGCUUUCAACUGAUGUGGUCCUAGAAUAAUUAAAUCAGUGCUAGCCAUAGCUGAAAGGAAAGGGUGGAGUGCCCCAAACAAUUUUUCCAUGUUUCAAAAGGAUGGUCAGCUUGCAAGUUUAUUUACUUUUUUUUUCUGAACAUAAAGAUCCAAAUCCAAUUGCAGAUUUCAAGAUUAAAUGGUGUGAUGAAAUGGUUUUAAUGUUGUUAUGUCCUCCCUAGCAGGAACAUUAUAUUUUUAUCUAGAACCAUAGCUUGGGUGCUAGCAGCUACAAAGCUUUCAUCAUAAACUUUACUAUAUAUAUAUAUAUAUCCAUCUCCAUAUUAUAUAUUUAAUCAAUUCAACAACUUUCAACAGGCUGCUGUUUGAUUAUAUAUAUAACACAGUGUUUCAGUGACAUUCAGAAGCACUAACUCUAUUAGAUUUAUUGGAAAUAAACAGUAAAUGCUAGUUGGCAAGGGAAAGGUGCAUGGUUGAUGGUUCUAAUCUGUCUAUCUCCCCUUCUAACUAGCCAUCUUCAAUUUCUUGAUAACUCUUUGCAGAAUAAAUCAAUUAUUUAACAAGCUGAGACAAGAUUUCAAAUUAAUUGUUAAUUCUAAAUUUCAAUUUGUUCGUAGUAAACACUUGAUGCUCACAGGCUUGUGCUGAGUGCAAUGCAUAUUGGUAAACAGAAUAUAUAACUAAUACUAUUAAAUUAAUAAAACACAACGCUUACUGGGAUGACCAAUUUUGUUUUAUUUAAUUUCCUGGUUUCAAAAUUUUAUAAUAUCCAAUACUUAGCAUUUUUCUAAACCAACGUAUCACAUUUAGCUUCAUAUAGAGUUUUAUACAAAUAUAUAUAGAGCCUCGAAACAUUCAAGAGAGCUGUAAGGCAGAAUAAAGUAAACAAAAGAUUGCAUAUUGAAUUAGCAAUACACUACCACAAAUUUGAGUGACAUGCAUUCAUACAAUGAUACAUUAUAGGAUGAUAAAUCUUAUUUACAUUUGAAUUUAAUCAUAUUAUAGGAUGAUAAUUUUGUUUAUAUUUGAAUUUAAUCAUGAUAACAUAAUAAUUAGAGAAAUACUGUCAAGAUAAAUGAAAACAAACGUUUACCUUGGAAUUAAAAGACUUUGAAAUCUUUAUUUAUCAGGAAUAGCUCAGUCACGUAUGGAUUUGAUUUCAUCAUUAUGUUUUGUUCUGUUCUAAAUCAUUUCAUAUAACUUGAUGAAAUUCUCAAAGCAUGCUUGUGACUUGAAAGAAAAUAGGCCACUGCAUUGGAAGGAAUAUUAUGAUCCUUCGCCACAAUAAACCUGAAUAAAACCAUUUUCUACUAAUUAAUUCCCAUUUCUUUUAUAUAUAUAUGUAUUAUUUAUAAAAGCAAGCCAAAACAUCCACUUCUUAAAAGCUGCUUCAAAGAAUUAAAAGGACAAAGGUCUCCUACCCGACUCUCUGCAGAUUCUUUCUAAGAGGGGGGCCACUUGAUUUAUACUAUUGUGUAUAUAGCUUUGUGGGUGGUCCUGCGAGAUACUAUUUUAAUUUUAAAAUUUGACUUGAGAGAAAAGCCUUUAUUCAUUUUUUAUAUUGAAAAUAUUUAUAGCUUGAAUUUCAUAAACGAGUCUUUAUGGUUAAAAGUUAACUUUUUAUCGCAGAAGGAGAAAAAUUUAUACAAUUAUAAGAUAUCAUAUGUCUUUUGUAAUAAGUGAUUUAGAGAUAAACUAAAGACACUAAAUUCUCAUAAAGGUUUCUUAUCCAGCACUACAAAUAUAGAAAUGGUGUGGAUGAUUCCAAAGGGGUUAUGUGUAGUCUUUGGAUGAGUUCAAUUUUUUGCUUUUCAAGCAUGAGACUUUUGGUAAUGUAGUUUGUCCCAAAGCAAUAGUUGAUUCAAUUCUUGAUAUAAACUUUGCCUUAUUUGUCUAUUCUCUCAUUAUUCAAUAAUGGAAGGUAGUAAAUAAAUAGUCACAACUCUUAAGGUUUAGGUAAGAUCACACUAACAUUAAUGCACCAGAUUCUAUUAGAACUUCGCAAUUAAGCGUAUUUGGGCAAAAGUAGUACUAGGAUGGGUGACUUCUUAAGAAGUCCUCAUCUUGUACCUUUUUUUUUGUUCUUUAAGUAUAAAAAUAUUAAAGUAGAGGAAGUCAAUGGAAAAGCCAUUGUUUCUAGAGGAAGUCGAUCACCUUUAAUGGAGUAAGCCAUUGCGAAAAUCGAUGGAAAAGCCACUGUCUCUAGAGGAAGUCAAUCACCAUUCAAUCAUUGUCUCCAGAGGAAGUCUAUCACCUUGAAUGGAGUAAGCCACUGUGAGGAAGUCGAUGGAAAAGUGACUGUCUCCAAAGGAAGUCACUCACCUUGUAUGGAGUACAACGAAAAAAAUUUAAGUCAGGAAGAGAAUAAGCGAAUAAGGGGUGCAAUAAAGAUUCAAUACAAAAAACUUUCAAAUAAACUAUUUUGUGGGGGAAAAAAAUGUUUACGGUGCUGCUGCCAAGGGUAAUAUUGACAAAAUUUCAUUCGAUUUAGAACAAGGAUGGGUUGAUGAUGAUGAUAUGGUGAAUGGUGAAAGACAAGAUGAAAUGCCACAAAUUUGUAUCAAUAAGGGAAAAAAAAAAAGAGAUUCAACGACCAUGGUGUUCUACUUUGAUAAUCAAACUAUUAGGUAAGUCUUUGGCGUUUAGUGCUCUUCAUAGUCGAAUCAUUAAGUUAUGAUGUUUGAAUGGUGAUUUUGAAAUGAUUGAUUUAGGUCUUGGUUACUAUAUUGUCAAGUUUGAUCAAAACCAUGAUAUGAUCAAAGUUCUUAGGGGGGUCCUUGGAAGAUAUUGGGUCAUUAUCUAACUGUUCAAAAAUGGAAGCCAAACUUCAAGCCUUCUACUGCUUCUUUAGGUUCAACUACAAUCUAGAUCAGGUUACCAGAGUUACCGUUUGAAUAUUUCAAUGAAAAGGUGUUGAUGGAGAUUUGUUGGCUCCUUAGUAAACUGUUAUGGCUUGAUGCUAACACAAACUUAGUGGCACGAGGGAAAUUUGCGAGAAUUUGUGUUGAAGUUGAUCUUGCCAAACCUUUGAUCCCUAGGAUCAAAAUUGGAGACUUGAUUCAGAAAGUAAAAUAUGAAGCUAUUUACACAGUUUGCUUUCGAAGUGGAGUUGUUGCACAUAGAGUUGACAACUAUCUAUUAGAGAACACUGGGGUGGUUAGUGAGUAUUUAAGUGACGGCAUAACCGUUGCAAAAGAAAGAGGUCUAAUGGUAACUAGAACAACAAAGGUAAAUGGUGAUUCCUCUAACUCCACUAAUUAUGGUCCGUGGAUGAUGAUAUAGAGGAAAUCUUGGUGGGGGUUAAGGAAUAAAAGUAAGAAAUUAGGUGCAGGUAAAGAAGGAGAUUUUGCAAAUCGUUUUGAUAUUUUAAGGGAGGAAAUUGUGGACAUUGACAAUGACCCUUUAACUAAUCAAAACAAUGAGCCAUUAACUGAUCAAACUAUCUUCAAAUUGGUAGGGAACGUGGAAAAUUUUAAAAGGAUUGAGGCUAAGUCCUAGAAGGCUGCUAUAGAGCGAAAGAAUAAUUUAGUGGACUUAAUCUUAGUGGCAAAGAAUUUGUCAAAGUUGGCUAGUAGAGAGAAUAUUAUUAAGUUGAGGAAUGAACAGGUUAAAACAUAUGGGCUUAUUCCUAGGAAAAUCUUUUUCUUUAAAGCCCAAGCAAAUAAGUAUAAAGAAAACUCUUUCUUAAUUGGCAGACAAAGUAAAAAACCUUACCAUGGGCCAUCAAAGAUGAUGUUAGGUUCAGGAAUAAUGGUGAUGAAUUUGGGACAUAAUACAACUGUUGAAUUAGACCAUCAAUCUUGACCUCCCAUCGGUCUUGCUCAUCAUAUAGACCCCUUUGAACAAAGUCUAAGGAUGAGAGGUAGUAUCCAAGAAGAGUAUGAAAACUUGGAUGAAACCAUAAUAGAAAUAUUUCGUAAGAAAGAAGGUGAUUAUGUUCAAUCUGAACCUAAAGAAAGGGAACUUCUUCAACAAGUAGAACUAACCCAUUCAAUUUGAAAGAAGAUAAUUUCAUGGAACUACAAAGGCAUUCUAAAUAAAAAAUACCUUCGAAAUUAUAAAGAUUUAAUAAGAACUUAUGUCCUUGAUGCUUUUGUUUUUCUUGAAACUAAAUGUAAUGAGGAGAGUCUAGAUUCUGAUUUUGCUAAAAUAUUGGGUUUUGAUCGUUCAUUUGUGGUGCUAUCUUUGGAUUUUGUAGGUGGUAUUCUUGUACUUUGGAAGCAGGAUAGAAUUAAAAUAUAGAGCCUUCAGUUGAAUAAUCAAACUAUCAAUUAGUUGAUACAAGAUUUGAAUUUGAGUUGGGUACUAUCUUGUGUUUAUGUAUAGCCUCAUUGUCAAUGAAAGGAUAUUUCUUGGGAUGAGCUGAGGAGGUUUUUUACAACUGUAAAUCCACAGUGGGUGGUGCCAGGUGAUUUUAACAAUAUUUCUUGGUGUGAAGAGAAGAGUGGAAGGUCUAGAUUCUGUGUUAACAGAGCUCAGUACUUCAUGGAUAGAUGGGAUGCUUGUAGUCUAUUAGAUAUAGGUGAUAUUGGUGUUAAAUCCACUUGGUCUCGUAAGAUAAAUGGAAGAGUUAUAAUUUAGAAAGGUUGGAUAAGCUAUUAAUGAACCCUUUAGCUCAAGAAAAAUUACUUGAAGCAAGGAUUGUGAAUCUCUCAAGUUUAAGUUCAAACCAUCAUCUAAUUCUUUUUCACUCAACCAUGAAAAAUCCACCUUUUAAGGAGAAUAAACCAUUUAGAUUUCAAGCAGCUUGGUUAACUCAUCAGGAUUUUGACAAUGUAUUUAGUUUAGCUUAGGAGUUUAGUGAUUCAUUGCUUUAGUCCAUUGCUUCAAUUACUUUUGUAUUAAAAAUGUGGAGUUAUGAUCAUUUUGGGACAUUUAUCGUAAAAAGAGAAAAUUGGUGUUAAGGAUUGAUGGUAUCCAACGUAGUGCCUCAUAUGAUCAGUCUUUGUUUUUACAGAAGCUAGAGGUGGAUUUUCAACGUGCGUAUCAGUUAGUUUUAUAUAAGGAGGAACUGCGAUGGUACCAAAAGUCCAUAUCAAAAUGGAUUCGGGAUGAAGAGCAAAAUACAAAAUUCUAUCAUCUUUUGACAGUGGUAAAACGAAAAAAGGAAUAGAUUAGCUGCGUUAAUGGUGAAUGAUCAUUGGGAGACAGAUUCGACAGUGUUAAAGGAACAUGCUGUCUCUUUUUAUGGUUCACUUUUUUAGUAGAAAAUAUACAAUUCUCUUGAGAAACAGCUUUAAUAGACGACAGCUUAUGAUGUCAUUGAAUGCUCAAGCAAAACUCGUGAAGCCCUUUAAUAUGGAGGAAAUCCAAAUAACUAUGUUUUCUGUGUGGGGUUUUCAAGCACUAGGGUUGGAUGGAAUCUAACCCUUAUUCUUGUAGAGAAAUUGGGAGGUAGUCAAAAAUCAUAUUAGCUCUUUUUUGAAUCAAACUUUAGUAAAUGGCCUUUUCCCGUUUGAUUUUUCUAAGGCCUAUAUCAUUGUAAUUCCUAAAAAGGAAAAUCUAUUGACAAUAAUGGAUUUUAAACCUAUCAGUUUACUUAAUAUUUCAUAUAAAAUUCGUACGAAGUUUUUAGUAAACAGAUUAAGGCUUCUUUAUAGGAGAUGGUAUGACCAUUCUAAGGCAGUUUCCUCCAAAGCAAAAGUGUUAGUGAUAAUAUUUUGAUUACUCAGGAAGUUGUGCAUUUUCUUAUGAAAUUGAAAGGAAGGAAAUUGUAAAGCCUGACCUUAUAAAAUACUUGUCAUGACAUACAUGUGAUGGAUAGCAUGUUUGCAUGCUAGGAGAGUCCCGAAAAAAUUUACAAAAGUCGGUAUUAUACCUAGAGGAACAACAAAGUUGAUUUAAACCUCGAACUAGAUCAAAUAGAGAUUUUAAGGUGAAAUUGAAAAUUUUACAAUCAAUGAAUAACUUAAAAUGGUGAUUCGGAGUUCGAGGAUUAAUUUGAAGUCAAAUUAGAAUUUUCACUAUCUAGGGGUAAAAUGGUAAUUUUGCUACUUGAGGAUAAAAUUGAAAUAUCGAAAGAAGUUUUUGAUCAAUAUUGAUCACAUUUGACUCAUUGGAGUAUAAUUUGAGGUUGAUAAGUGAAAAAAAUUGUAAUCCCGGUACUUUUCAAAGCAUAGGGGUAAAAUGGUAAUUUUGCCAUCCCAAGGGCAAAAUUGUAAUUUUACACACCCGAUACUUGUCCAGCACAUGGAUUUUAUCCAAUAUUAUCAUGGAUAUUUGAAGGAAAUUUACAUGGAGGAGAGAGAAAGCUUAAUAGUUAAGAAAUUAAAAACGGGCCAAUGACAUGAUGCCAUGUGUCAUGCCNAACAGCCUUGGCGGACUCGGUUAGAUGCCUCGGCCAAGGUAUCCCCGAGAAUGAUUUUAGCAAGAGCCAAGCUUUUAAAAUACUCAUAAGCCAUGUUGAAUAUUUAAAUGAAAUGAAUAUUUAUGUUAUGAAAUACAUAUUGAGAUGAAUAUUUUUAACAGCCUUGGCGGACUCGGUUAGAUGCCUCGGCCAAGGUAUCCCCGAGAAUGAUUUUAGCAAGAGCCAAGCUUUUAAAAUACUCAUAAGCCAUGUUGAAUAUUUAAAUGAAAUGAAUAUUUAUGUUAUGAAAUACAUAUUGAGAUGAAUAUUUUUAACAGCCUUGGCGGACUCGGUUAGAUGCCUCGGCCAAGGUAUCCCCGAGAAUGAUUUUAGCAAGAGCCAAGCUUUUAAAAUACUCAUAAGCCAUGUUGAAUAUUUAAAUGAAAUGAAUAUUUAUGUUAUGAAAUACAUAUUGAGAUGAAUAUUUUUAACAGCCUUGGCGGACUCGGUUAGAUGCCUCGGCCAAGGUAUCCCCGAGAAUGAUUUUAGCAAGAGCCAAGCUUUUAAAAUACUCAUAAGCCAUGUUGAAUAUUUAAAUGAAAUGAAUAUUUAUGUUAUGAAAUACAUAUUGAGAUGAAUAUUUUUAACAGCCUUGGCGGACUCGGUUAGAUGCCUCGGCCAAGGUAUCCCCGAGAAUGAUUUUAGCAAGAGCCAAGCUUUUAAAAUACUCAUAAGCCAUGUUGAAUAUUUAAAUGAAAUGAAUAUUUAUGUUAUGAAAUACAUAUUGAGAUGAAUAUUUUUAACAGCCUUGGCGGACUCGGUUAGAUGCCUCGGCCAAGGUAUCCCCGAGAAUGAUUUUAGCAAGAGCCAAGCUUUUAAAAUACUCAUAAGCCAUGUUGAAUAUUUAAAUGAAAUGAAUAUUUAUGUUAUGAAAUACAUAUUGAGAUGAAUAUUUUUAACAGCCUUGGCGGACUCGGUUAGAUGCCUCGGCCAAGGUAUCCCCGAGAAUGAUUUUAGCAAGAGCCAAGCUUUUAAAAUACUCAUAAGCCAUGUUGAAUAUUUAAAUGAAAUGAAUAUUUAUGUUAUGAAAUACAUAUUGAGAUGAAUAUUUUUAACAGCCUUGGCGGACUCGGUUAGAUGCCUCGGCCAAGGUAUCCCCGAGAAUGAUUUUAGCAAGAGCCAAGCUUUUAAAAUACUCAUAAGCCAUGUUGAAUAUUUAAAUGAAAUGAAUAUUUAUGUUAUGAAAUACAUAUUGAGAUGAAUAUUUUUAACAGCCUUGGCGGACUCGGUUAGAUGCCUCGGCCAAGGUAUCCCCGAGAAUGAUUUUAGCAAGAGCCAAGCUUUUAAAAUACUCAUAAGCCAUGUUGAAUAUUUAAAUGAAAUGAAUAUUUAUGUUAUGAAAUACAUAUUGAGAUGAAUAUUUUUAACAGCCUUGGCGGACUCGGUUAGAUGCCUCGGCCAAGGUAUCCCCGAGAAUGAUUUUAGCAAGAGCCAAGCUUUUAAAAUACUCAUAAGCCAUGUUGAAUAUUUAAAUGAAAUGAAUAUUUAUGUUAUGAAAUACAUAUUGAGAUGAAUAUUUUUAACAGCCUUGGCGGACUCGGUUAGAUGCCUCGGCCAAGGUAUCCCCGAGAAUGAUUUUAGCAAGAGCCAAGCUUUUAAAAUACUCAUAAGCCAUGUUGAAUAUUUAAAUGAAAUGAAUAUUUAUGUUAUGAAAUACAUAUUGAGAUGAAAUAUUUUAAUUGUCUUAUUUUACUCGGACUUUAGAUCUUUUGAAUGAUGUUUGUUUACUCACUGAGAUUAUAAAAUCUCACCACUCUCCUUUCCCUCCAUUUCAGACUCAGAUUAGACUGUAGAUAGCUGAUCUCAUCGAGGACUACCGUUGGGUUUGCAUUCUUCAAACUGUAGGUUAUAGUCCUAUUUACUUUUGUUUAUUCGGGGGCCCACUUAUUAUUGUAAAUUAAAUUAAAUAUUUUGGCUUACUGUAUUACAGUAUGUAUGAAUUUAUUUAACUUUUAUACUACAAAAAUUAUUUAUGUAUAACUCUAAAAAUAUUGUUUUAUGAUAAAAU
rnacentral:lncRNA from 1 species